rnacentral:lncRNA from 1 species
UUCGGGGUUACGGUGCAUUUGUAAAAAGACGCUUUUAAAUAUUAUUAGAAGCACUGUUAAGUGGUCGAUAAUUAAUUUUCUUAACUUAAAUAACUUAGAUUUAGUAAUUUAAAAGUAUUUUUGUUAAAAGUACCAGUGUCAAAAGUGCCUUGCAACCUCAGGAAAGAUAAUGCCAAAUUUGUUAUUCUCAUUUCUCAUGAGUGUAACAAAUGUUUUGUAAAAAAGAGUGCUAAUUUUUUAGGGUUGUAAUCAAAAGGUCAUGUACAUUAUGACUUUAUCCCAUUACAUGACUUUAUGGAUAGACAGAAAACUAAUAUAUAUUCUUUCCUAUCUUCAAAACUGAAGAAUCCGAUGCUGGGGGAUUUUCGUCUCAUUUUUCCUUUUGUGGUAUAUUCAAGACUGUUAUGGUUAAAUGCUUUUUUUGUAUUUCUAAGUAAUUGCUACUUGUACUUUUCAUUCAAAAAAAAAAAAAGAAAGAGAAAAAGCCAAAACAGCCACAAUAUACUAUAUAGUCCCUUUAAAAAAAAAUUAAAUCCAAAAAAUAAUUGACGGCCGACUAAAAGGUAACCAUCCGUUACCUUACCUACCUUUCAAUUAUUGCUAUUAAAUACUUCAGCAUUAAGUAUAUUAAUCAAGAAAACCCCCCCCCCCCCCCAAUCCCCCAAAAAAAAAAAUUUUUUUUUUUUGCGUUGGCUUUCAAGUGGCUGAGAGCUGUAAAGGUUGCUGACAAUUACCGUUUCAGAACAAAAACAGUAAAACGAUUCACAAUCUUUUCUUCUUAAACCUACAAAGAAGUUAAUGAUGAAAAGAAAAAGGAAACCUGGGAACUUACAGAUUCUACUUACUUUGCAAGACAAAAGGGAUCAAAUCAAACAUCAGGCUGCCUUCUAAGCUAAAACUACCGGUCAUACGACGGAAUUUGGGAGAGCAAAACUACAUGUGCGCUGCUGGCUCCCAUUCCCAACUGCCAUUCAACUUCUCAACGGGCCUACGAACUCCCGUACCACUCUUCUCAUUUCUCCCCAUCCUCCACCUUGAUGGUCAUCCACUCAUAUCAACAGCCCCCUCCUGUUUUUUUCUGAUAUUUUGUACAUAUCUGUUUCUUGAAUACUAUUUCACGACCAAAAUUCUUUAAGGAAAGUUCAUGCCUCCUUCGCAGGGGGGGAGGGACAAAUAAAAACAGACAAAAGAAGUUUGUUUUUGCUGAGAAAUGGAAGGUUCAGAGAAUUCCAAGAUAGAGAAUAGACAGAAAGUGAAGACAGGUGAUGGCUCAGAACAAGUAGAGGUGCAAGAGGUUGAUUUUGGCGAAGUAAUCGAGCUCCCUCCACAGCCAGCAGCCAUGCAUAACGAGCCAGUAAUUGUAGCUGAAGAAAAGAACACUAUGGAGCAAUCGGGAUCUUCUGAGGUAACUGUAGAGGAGAAAGGAGAGGAAAACCUGAGCGUUAUCUCUGAACCAGAGGCUACUGCGAGAGAGUUGGCGUUUUCCGAAUAUGGGCAGAAACAGGAUGGGGUUUCUGCCGUUGCAUCUGAAGCAGAAACAAAGACGCAGGAGGAGGCUCCAUUUCCAAUUUCAAGUACUAGUGUUGCGGAAUCAUCAGGUGUUCGAGAUUCAGUUAGCGAAGAAAAUGUUGUUGAAUUAUCAGAACCAGUAGCUGUUGUUCCUGGUGAUGCUACUAAUGGUGGUGGGGGUCGUGACUCAUCAGAAAAUCCCAGCAGCGCUGACAGAGAGGUGCUCAAUUCAGUUGGCCUCUUCUUAACAUAUUCUUUUUCCGUUUUGCUGAUUGUCUAUAUAAUGACCAUCUUCGGAUUAUGGGUAACUAGGGAUCCAGAAUUUUCCUUUUUCAAUAAUAUUGUUGUUUAAUCUGCUGACUACUUUUUAUGUGUUGAAACAUUUGAACAGCCAGCUGCUGUUUUGACUCCUCGCACGCGGACUUUUUGGACGAGCUGCUGUGGUUUAUUUGAUGCUCUGCGGGGCUCAAAUCAGUAAUUUUAGGUGAAUGACUUUUGGUACGAGAAGAUUCUUCUUGAUCAACUUUAUGCACUCAACGGUUGAAACUUUUCCCAGAAAUCAGUAACUCUUUCUGCCGGUUUUUACGAGCAUCGUUUGGGCUUUUAGCCAGUUUAAUAUCUAGCAUUUACUAUAUUCACCGUACAACAACUAUAAGCUGUUUGGUGAUCUGUUACAUUCUCCUGAUAAAAUCCCUCAGUCUGUGUGGAGAAAAAAUGAUUGCUGAAAACUUGUUCAUCUGUACAAAGACUAGAAACAGAGAACUGCAGGGAGUAACAAGGCAAGUAAAAGAUGGUUGCGGAUCUGUGAUCAGGUUCAACAUAGCUAUGCAUACACAAUGCUGUAUAUACUACUCAAAUCUCAUUUCUUGGUGGUAGUGCCUGGAAUACAUUUCUUAUAACUAAACUAUGGCAACCAGAACGCAAAGGUGCACAGAGCAAGUUCAAAUUUGUAAACCAGAGACGUUUGCUAGUCUAAUAUGCAUGACAUACGAGUUGUUCCAGUAUGGUAAUUUGAUCAACCAAUUGAAGGACCAAGCUAUUAAUAUUUCACUACUGCAUCUGAUGUGCUUGAUUGCUGCGCAGGAAUCUGGAGGAGCAUUGUUGGCUGGUUUGCUACUUUGAUUUUGUGGAGUGCAGCGUGAGAUCUCGUAGAAUUUUUUUGACGUAGUAGAAGAUAAGGUACAUCCACUCAGGAUAUCAUCAGCCAUGGAGUUGUUUUCGUUCCUUAAAUGAUGAAGACUUUAAAAGCUUUUUGUAAUUUCAUUAUCCUGCAACCGGAGCUUGAGUGUGCAGCCAAGAGUCCGUGCUAGAGUGAAGUUUUCUCUUGGUCUUGAGUGUUGCUCUGUAACCUGUACUGAUUUAUUGUAAUUUUAUAUCUGAGAGCAAACUGUGAACAUGAACUGGAUAUUAUGGUAUGAUAAAAGUUGAUUCUUUCUUCACUUGGAUUAUAUACUAUCUCUCCUUACCCCUGUACAUCUGUUUGCUCCCCAAAAGAAAGAUACAACUGGAAACCAUAUACAGUUUACCGUAUCUUCUUUUUUUUUGUGCGGGGUAUCUUAAGGAUUUUUGAGUUCAGUAACUUUGGCUCCUACGAAUUUGUAAGUGCAGCUCUACAAAGUCUCAGAUUCUGAACUUGCUCUCAUUCCCUGCUCUCCCUCGCCCUAAUGACGAGUCAGACCUCGCACACAGCAGUAAAGCAACACUGCUAUCACCAACCUAGAGUCUGAAAAAAUGGACUAGGGGAAGGAUCAUAGUUCUAACACUACGUUGCGAUGGACUAGGAUGAGAACCAAGCAACCUAUUUCAAAAGACACAAAAACCAACCACCAGUUUAUUCACAAUUCAUUAAAGACAAAUGGUUUCCCAAGUAGCAAACUCUCUGCAAGUAUACAAGGAGGCGACUUACUUCCUUUUGGAUGAAGGUGCAAGAGAUCAAAUUCCAUCGCGCAUAAGCUGAACAUUAUUGGCACAACUGCCAAACAGGCGGACAAGAUGCCCAACCCAAUUCGUAAUAUCCAAAACUAACAGCAAAUUUGAGUAGGCAAUUAGUGAUUUCCAAUAUGAAUAACACAAUAAGGAACCUUCGGGCUUUCACAAUUUCGAUGGGCUUGGCAAAUAUAAGUUCAGUCACCCAGUACUGCAACAAAUUGACUAUCAAUGAUAUCACAAGGAAAGAGUUUAAAGCAAUUAAUGCUUAAAUUUAUCAAGUUUAACGGGGUUGUCAAGGUGACAUGAUCUAAUAUUUUCCUCUCUAUACUUAAUUAAAUUACCAUACAAUGACCGCAUUUGCUGUCUUCUACCUAAAUUGUCAAUUUGAACCAAUUGACGGCACUCAGCUUCACCCAAGAGAGAAAGUCGACUGUGUAGCAACACUUAACCAAGAGGGCUCCAAUCAUGAAAAAGACCACACAACCAACAUAUCCGUUGGUAGCAGAAAAUGCCUGGGGGUAUGCUUAUGGCACUCAACAAAAUACAGGGCCACAGGUAUUCAUCAAAGCCUGGAGAGGAGAAAAAGAAAAGCCAUCUCAUGCACGGCUCAUUUCCUUCAUUUCUUUGUGGUUAAGUAGAGGUCAUGAACAGAGCGUCCACAACCUAAUUUUAGGGAGCACUACUCCAAAAAUAUUACCACCUAUGGUAUCCACAAAUACAAUGUCACCUAACACAGCGUCCUGUUUCUUUCUCAUGCAGACAUGUAAAGCAGAAAGCAAUGUAGUCAAGCACUCUAAGGCAACCAAAAUUAUAAUGAUGUGGGGAUCUAAGAAGCAGCCAUUCACAUACCAUCAUCACAAAAGACGUAUACUGUGAACACACAGACAAGACAAUAAAUCAUAGAACUAUAUAUGCAGUAAAAAUAUAAUCAGCAUCAAACCUUACCAAAAUGGGGCAAAAAAAAGUGGUUAUUGCAAAGCAUCCAACAAACUGUCGUUACCCAGGCAAAACAUAUCCCUUUAACACUGAUUAACAACAAUACUACUACAUCUAUAAGAAAUUAUCCACUAAAGCUAGAAAGCUUAAUAAUAAUAAAGCCUGACACAACCAUCAAAACCAUCAAAAUUGAGCCAUUUCCUUACUCAAGGUCAGCAACAAAAACCCUAACCUGCAAGCUUCUCUUCCAUCUUCAAACUACGGAAAUUCACCUUUUCUUGUAAUGAAGAUAACACAGCACCCCUGUCAGAGCCACAGCACUGACAGCAGAAACAGCCACCACAGGCCACUCCCCCUCAAGUCGAGCAGCGCAAUUCUUCUCUCGGCCCUCAACCACACUGCCCACAUCCUCCUCCACCACAGCCACCUUCCCAUUCUCCAGACCAUCAACCUCCCUCUGUUUCACUUCCAACCCGUUAAUCACCCUCUCUUUCUCCUCCAACUUCCCUUCCAAUUCCCUUACCUUUCGCAAUAACUCCUCUCUCUCACUCGCAGCCAAUUUCAACUCCUCAAUCCCACCCUCCAAAACCUUAAUCUCCUUCUCCUUUUCUCCAACUUUGGCCUUCAAGUCCUCCACUUUACCAAUCAACAAAUCCCUCUCACUGAUAACAGCAUCCAGCUUAAUUGACUUCUCCGUCGCCCCAUUCUCCAAACUCUCCACCUUCGUUUUCCACUUAGAAACAUCACUGUUAGCCUCGUCCAAAUCACUCAUAGCAGAAAUCAGAUCAUGCUGCAGUCGUGAUACUUCGCCCUCAAGCUCACCAGCCCUAGCAGCUACAGAUUGCAAAGCCUUGCUCUCCGAGCCCAAUUUCUCGACCUGGCCCUUCAGUUCCUCAUUCUCAGAGCUCAAAUGCUUCAUUGAUUCCUUCAUUUUCUCAAUCCUAUCAUUAACAGUCUUAUUCUCAUAAACCACCUGCUGCUUUUCUUUCUCCAACGCCUCAAUCAUCUCUGAAAGUUCAGCAACUUUCGAUUCGUAACUGGAGAUUUCCUCUCCAGCAAUAUCCACCGUUUGAGCAUCCACAAAUUCGCCGUUCACCGUAUUCGAAUCAUCAGCCAUCUUUUAUCCUACCAGAAAUUAAACAAGGAAAAAUCAUCCAAUCAAUUGUUCAUAUAUAUUUUUUUUUAAAAAAAAAUAAACUAUAGCCCCCGUGAUUCCACUUUUUCCUAGGCUAACAAAAAAAUUAAUUAACAAAUAAAAACGAAGAAGAAAAUGAGUUAUGUAAAAAAUUAAGUAAAAACAAGUUUGAUUAUUUAUGAAGGCGCAAAAAAUUCUCGAAAACAAAAGUAAAGCGCGUUGAUCCAAAUAUAAAUUUGUCUGCGGUCAAAGAUUAAGACAAAAAAUACCCAAAAAAAAGUAAAUAUCCUGGAAUUCAAAAGUAUUACCAAAAAUCCCAAUAUCUACACCAAAUAUUACGAAAAACAAAAUUAAAACCAAAAAAAAAAAUUGCAUUAAUGUCUGCACUGUAUAUACAGAAAAUAUUCAAAACAAAAUCAUUAAAGGAAAAAAAAGAUAAAAAACAUAAAUAGAAUUCGAGAAAUUUGUUAGAGAGCUCACCUGGAGUGUGUGUAUUGUGCGUGUGAUUUGUCUGCAAUUGAAAGUCUUAAUAAUUUAAAAAUAUAAAAAGGAUAAAUGUUGGAGUAAUUAGGGUUUCUUGGGAGGAAAGAGAGAAAGAGAAAGGUAAGAGUCCUGAGAUUUAUUAUGUCGUCCAAUCUGCAAUAAAAAAAAAAAGAAAUGAAAAUUCCAAUAAGGAUAUGGGCCAAAAAAAAGGAUAAUUAAAAAAAAAAGUAGCAAUAAUGAUUAAAAGAAAAUAAAAGGGGCUUUUUCGGGUGCUUGGGUGUUUGAGUGGUGGUGGCAGUCGUAAUGAUCAUCAAUUGUUGAUGGCAGAAAUGAACGGUUUAAAGUUGGUUUGAGAUUCGCUGAUGGCAUGAUCAUUCAUCCUCAUCAUCCACGUGAUUAAAGUUGUGGGACCCGGAGUCCGAAUCCCGAUUGUGGAGGGACUGUUCAACCCGUCACGCCGAAUGGUGAUCCGGCAAAAGGCGGUUCAUCAUUGGAUGGUCAGGGACUGGGUUGAGAAUUGGGCUUUUAGUGAGGGAGGGAACCCAAGUUUGGGCCCUUUAAAAUCCAAGUAAAAUGGAUGUAUUGCUUCUUACUAGCAGUAUAAAGUUUCUCCAAUUCUCUUUGUUUUUUUUUUUUGCACUUUUUAAUUUUUUAAAAAUAUUCUGAAAUUUGCUGGUUUAUUAAUCUAAUUUAUUAAAUCCUUCCAGCUAAAUUUCUAUGUGAGUAAUUAUUUCAGGAAUUUUUUUUAAAUAUCUUAUUUGUUUCGUUAUAAAAAAAAUUUGGAUUUCCCAUCUCAUCAAGUUAUAUUUGCUUUGUUAAAGCUAAGGAAGGAAAUAAUUGGGUUUUGUUUGGAUCGAGGCUUAUUUACAAAAUAUUAUUUACUUGUAUCAUAAAUACAUUUUUCAAUCAAAUUUUUUUUUAUCUCUUCAAUUAGUUUUUGAUUUUACAUACAUAACGUCAUAAAAAGUAUUAAAGUAAUUAUUUCAAAUAAUCUCCUAUCUCAAACAAGAUGUUUUAUUUAGCAGACGAUCUUCCAUCUUUAUUGGCCAAAUAUCCUAUUGCCCAAUUGGGUAAAUUUUGAGCAGCAAAAGUGUCAGCAUGCACUUUGAAGAAAGCACGUUUGAAAUAAUUCUUGUAUACACUGACACGCGAUAUAUACACUCUGUCACUAUGUAUGAUAACUAAUCCUAGUAUGAAUUUGAAAUUUAAAAUCUAAAUUUUGUAUCCAAUGAUGAUAUCAAAAUACUCUACUUAUUAUGACAUUCAUUUUCACGGUAAAAAUCCUCAAAAUAGACAUUUCAACAAUGAUUUCAAAGCCCAACUCAACUCCAAUCUUAGAUUGUGUUUGGAUUGCAUUUUUUAUCAUAUUUCAUGGAAAAAUUACUGUAACGAUUUGAUAUAUGUGAGGGAAAAAAAUGAUAGGAAAAUGUGAUCACGGAAAACGACAAUAUUUUCCGACGAAAACAUGCUAUACAAUGAAAUGGAUAUGGAUGAAUUUAGUGAGGGAAAAAAAAAAAUGCCUCACAAUACCAUAUCCUGGCGGACCUAGCCAGAAGCCGGUAUGGCCAGUACAGCCACAUGCUGCUUUCCCUCCGUACAGUUGGUACCACGACGACAAUUAAAGAUUUUCUGUCCCUUUUUUGUUAGCUUUCUGAAAUCAAUUACUACAUCACCAGAGGAAUUCAUCACUCCCAACAAGUCAUCACCAUCAUUUUGCAACAAUUUAAACAUGGCUUCCUUCCCCCAACACAUUUUCUCUGCCCCAAAUUUGGUCAUCAGCACAUUUCUUUCUCAUCAUUUAUCAUCAACUCAACUCAACUCUUAGAUUUGAAAGGAUUUCCAUUUCCACGCUACUAUCUUUUGAGAUUUGCUUAUUGGCCCCCCCCCCCCCCAUGACGGCUACAAAAUUGCAUGCCAUACAUACACUACAGUAGUAAUUGUGUAUUUCAUUGACCAAGAUUAAUUAUGAUUGUAAUACUCAUCUUAAUUGCCAAAUCCUUGUUCACAAUCAUCUAAUCUAAUUGAUGAAAACUGGUUGGGACAGCAUUUAUGCCAAGUGCGCUUAAAUGGUUGGUUCAAAUCUUGAAGCAUUUAAAACUGUUAAUCCUCAAUUACCAAAAAUUGGUGGUAUAAACAUCUUCCGCAAAGGGGAAACAUGCAUUUUUUGCUAAUCUCAUUCACGUAAUGCCAAAUUAAUCCUUCGAGUUAACAGUUAUGAUUAAGCAUGAAAUCAGUUCGAGCACGUACAAUAUAUAGCAAUAAUAUAUAUUUCUUCAAGAAUGUACGUACCAAGAGUAAAUUCCUACAACAUCAAAGACAUUCAAAGCUGGAAAAUACCAAAUCUAUUAGUACUUGUACCAUUACUCUAUCAUCAUGAAAACUAAAUUUGAUUUCCCCUCUAUUCCUCUACAAGGAAUUAAGCUAUCCAAGGUUGAAGGCUUCAUGAAAUCAAAGAAAGAAAGAAAGAACAAAAAAAAAAUAAUAAUAAAAGAAGAUAGAGAGCCCUUAGUUUUAAUCCCCCACCCUAACCCCCAGCAUAAAAUAAAGGGCAUUAAAGCAUAAAGAAAAAGAAAAGAAUUUUCGUAACAAUUUUCUCACCACCAGCCAUCACAACUAAAGGCAAUGUAAAAUCACAUUAAUCAUAAAAUCAGCCUCCAAAUUUUCUCUUUUCCUUGUCAGAACUUUCAACAAAGCUUGCAAGAAACUUCAAGGCUUUGACUUGAUACUGCAGCUCCAUUAUAUAACCCGCAGUUUCCUCAAACAGCUUGUCAACCCCUAACGAUUCACCGCCUGGCACAAUUUUUUGUAAUACCACAAUCUUUUUCUCCACCUCAGCUUUCUCAUCUUCUUCGCUACUUGUGUCCUCCUCGAUUGAUGAUGCUAACUUCUUAGCGUUAAAACUUCUCUUUGAUGAUCUUCUGCUUCUUCUACUGUUCUUCUCCUGGAGCUUCGCGUGGGGGAUGACAGCUAAAGAUUCUUGACCCGCAUUGUCCAUAUUCGUGCUGGAGUUUUUCCGGGUGGUCAUUCUUUCUUUUCUUGAUAAUGCGGCUGAGUUUCUUGGCUCUUCAGGACUGCUACCGCUGCUCUCCAUGAAUUAACGGCAAAGGAGGAGAGAAGGGACUGUUGAGAAGGGAGAAAAGGCUAAAGGGUCAUAGGAGGUUGUGGAGAUGAAGAAGUAAAAGGUUGUGGGAAGAAGGGGGAAGGAAGGUGGUGGAGGGUUGAGGAGGAGGAGGAGGAGGAGGAGGAGGCUGUGAGGCAUUGGGGUAUGGUGUGGUGUUAAAUUAUUGUUUAGAGUUCUGGAAAUGUCAAUGCCAACGAAGCUGGUCCUACCAAUUUUGGGCUUUGGCUUCCUAAGACCCCUGAUUAUGGUUUUCUGGACAAGUAAUGGCACCACGCUCUUUGUUGCCGAGGUUCAUACACGCAUGUAAACACAUGGAGGAGGGACUAACUCCACUUUAUCAUUAUUUUACAUUAGUAUCAUCUUUUUAUCUCAUUAAUUACCAUAUCUUUUUAUCUCGUUUAUUAGAUUUAAAUAGGACAAUUUUUUUUACGAUUUGAGGUGCAAAGUAUUUGAAAUUGAAAUUCAAAAUGCAAAAUUAAUAAGUGAUAUAAGUUGCGUGUUUGGAUUCCACAUGAUAAUCUUUAAUAAUGUAUGGAUGAAUUUAACCAAUUGUAUGCAUCUACUUUUCAAUAAAAAUUUCUUUAUAUUGUCAAAGAAUUUUUUAUUGUUUCGAUUUAAACGACAUACAAAAGAAAAAAAAAAGGACAAACAAGAAAUGACAUAAUUGUUUGAUUAGCAUUUGUACAAUCAAACAGUCUUAAGCACAACAACUCGUCCCAAUUUGAACAUGUUUCCUGAAAUUUGCGAUACAAAGCAAAGAAAUGAUUUUGUUUAGAACUUUAAAAAAUAAUGCCCAAGAAAACCAAUAAUCUUAUGGAGUACUAAUUUUUACUGCAUGGCCUGACCAAGGAGAUAGUAAUAUGGGUACAAGUAUAGGAGAGCGUUUGAUUCACUCGCCAGCGGCAUGAAGGUGGAGAAGGAUGAUGGAUGAAAGGGUGGGUGGGGCAGUGGGGAGGCUGAAGGGAAAACCGGAUAGAGUAUCGCAGGUGUGACAAGGGCCCACGAGUCAAAAAAACAAACGGAGAAAGCACAUGUGAUCACAUGAAUUUCUUGAACCUAACACACCCCAUGUGCACCCCUCGUCUCUCCCUCCUCACUCCUAUAUAUGAUCAAACACGUAUGUAGAGGCCACGUUUCACUUUCACCUUAGAGCCCCACAACCACCCCCCCCCCCUCUCCAAUGUCAGAGAGAGAGAGAGUUUUUGUUUUUCCUUUUUUUUUUUGAGUUGGGGACCCCAUACGGUCGUGGUUGUGGGUGGUGGUCACUUGGUGGUGGUAGGAGGUGGUGUUUCCAACGAGGGAACAGCAGUCGGCGGUGGUUUUGAGGUCAUUGGGAUUGUGUUUUUAGUGUGUGAGAUGAGAAGAGAAGAAAUGAAAAGAAGAGAUUUUGGAUUUUGGAUAUUGGGUGGGGUGUUUGAGUGUAGGGCAUUUGGGACUCAAUGCGAUCAGUUCAGAGCUACCAAAUCUUGUGUUCCUGCCGCACACUACAGACGACAUUACAUAUUUUUGGUUGGUCUUAGUAAACAUAAUAAUGAUAUUAAAUGGUUCGUAGCAGACUAGUUGAAUUUCUAUCUUUAUAUAGGAUUAUCAAUUUGCUACUACAUCGGAAGUACCAAUUUUCUUGGAUCCAUUGCCAAUCCCCCCCACUGAUGAUAUCGCGUUGGAAACCAUCUUUUUCUUCUACAUCACAAAGAGGGAAAAAAAAUACUCCCUCUGUGUGUGUCGUUUGAUAGUUCUAUUUUUUUUUUUUACGCAGUUUAAGAAAAAAUAAUUAAUUUUAUUAAAAAAAUAAAUUUAAAUUGCUAUUUUUUUUAAAAUACUCCUACAUUAAAUAAAGUUGACUUUUCAUAUAUCAAUAUAUUUUGAAAAAUCUAAAUGCAUUAAAUAUGAUAGGUAGGUUAUAUUCAAUACUAACACUCUUAUACUCUCUCCGUCCCACUUUGAUAGUCUUGUUUUCCUUUUUCGUCUGUCCCAAAUUGUAGUCCACUUUCCGAUUGAAGAAUGUAGUUUUAUUUUUAUUUUCCUAAAAUACCCUUAUUCAAUGUAAGUUGUUGUUACUAUAAACUUACUCCAUUUAAUGAGAGUUGGUUCUUUUUUUACCAUCAAUUCAAGUUCCCAUAAAGUUGUACUCUAAUUAAUGUGGGGGUAUUUUAGGAAAAUAGCUACCUAAAUUGAUUGUUCCAACAAAAUUAACUACUUUUUAUUAAACUGUGUGAAAAAAGAACCAGGACUAUCAAAAUGGGACGGAGGGAGUAUUAAAUAAGGUAGUUUAUAGUAAUAACAACUUACAUUGAAUAAGAGUAUUUUAGAGAAAUUAAAAGACAAUUACAUUUUUCAAUUGGAAAGUAUAUUACAAUUUGAGACAGACGAAAAAGAAAAAAUAAGACUAUCAAAGUGGGAUGGAGAGAGCAUGUCAUCUAAUGUAGGUAUUCCCCUUUUGACAAAAUUUCUUCAUUUCUUGCUUGAAAUUUUAACAAAUUGUGCUAAUUUCCUCUUGGUAAUAACUUAUACAAAAAUUGAAAAUAUAUAUGCUCAUCUAUUCACGUGCAAAUACGAAUAAAUUUAACUAAACGGGUUCAUUUGCUACCUAUAGUAAUAAGCAAGUUCGGAUAUUUGCGAAUUUUUGGAAUAUUACUAUAGUAAAUUUCUAACCGUAAUAUGUAUGAAACCCAAAAAAAGAAAAAAGUUGAAAAGAUAGAAAGUUAAUUCACCAAACCCUACAAAACUAUGGUCAUCAAUCUUAACAGGAUUGAUUCGAAGGCGUAAGAUGAGGACACCGACCAAGUCUUCGUGAUAGUAAUGUAUCAAACUAUGGUCCUAUUCUGUUCAAUUCCAAGUGUCAAAAACAGUGUAAAAUUGUACGUUUUCUAAAUUCAGGUUUGUUUUUUUCUUUUUUUCUUUUUUGCCCAAAAUGUCUUCAGAUAAGAAGGGCCCUUGCUAGCACAUGGUAUAAUUUUAAUUGCUCCGUCAUCUCGUUUGUCAAAUUUUGCAUCCUCAUGUUCCAAUUAGUCUUCUGUUAUCACCCAUAACUAUUACAUAUUGACAUUUUCCCCCCUUUCUACGUAUACAUAAUCAAAAUAUGAGUUGUCUUUCCUUUUUCUCUGCGAGUGUCAUGCUAUUAUUUUUGCCUCUUUUGGUUUUACAAUUAUUCUACAUAAUUUAAGUUUGGUUUUACAACAAACUAAAAGUUCCCAAUUGGGGACUACUAUUUUUUUGUGGGCAAAAAACAAUUCACUUCAAAGUAACAUGUGCUAAUUAACCAUGAUAAAAACAAUCAAAAGAUACUCCUCUACUACUGUUGUCAACCAGAUUUUUAAAACGCGCAAAAACACUGACCUGUGUGUGUUAGAUGAAUCUGGGAAUCAAGAUUUGCUAAUUAAGAUGCAAUGCAUGUAUCCAGCUAACCAUCAGAAGGGAUGCAUGCAUAUCCCUGUCUGCAAAGAGAUCAUCUUUGUGGGGCAUUUCCGUGACAAAGCAGGGAUGCAAAUCAGGAUAGUCCCAGAAAAGCUGUGGGCUGUAUACGUAUGGGGAUGCAUUGAAUUGCAUGGAAUAAUAAUAAUGAUUUAAUGAGAAGAAAGGGAGAAGAGUUGAUGAUGCAUCCAUGCCAUAAAAUUAUGUGCUGCGUACCCAUAAAUGCAAUCACAAGAAGAAGCACAGGGGCAUGGGGACGAUUGUUUGGUGGCUGGUAAGUCAGAUAUUGUUUGCGUGGCACUUUUUUUGUUUGGUUGGUUGGUAGGUAAAUGUGACCGCUUUUGGCUCCCAAAAGAUACAGCCAUUAUUUGGAUGGCUAUUAUUUGACUCCAAAUUAUUUAUUUGCAUCACAGACACUCUAUUUUUUUUACAAACCCUUUUAUCUCUCCGAUCACUAUUUCAUCUCACAUACAUCACAUCAUAACAUGUGUUGCGGUAAUUAUUUCAAAUAAUCUUCUAUCCAAACACACACCAAUUAGCCAAUUAUACGAGUAAUUCAUCCGUCUUUUCUUUCUACAUUCUUGCCCUUUAAAAGAACUUAUAAGGCAAACCGAUUGUCGUUGUCCUCUGGGAGUCGAUGCUUUCUUGUUAAGAGUUUCUACUUCUUCCGAAGCCUGACCAAAUAACAUUUAAUUAGAAGGUUUCUGCUGCAACGUAAACGCCAGAGAAGUGGGGAGUUGCUGCGCGAACUGCUACCGUAUGGAGUUGAACGAAAAACAGGAAUAAAAGAGAGCGAGUAGAAGGCUCAAAUCAAACCCAUUUUCCAUUACGAGGACCAAACACCCUAGUGCACUAGACACGGCUUUCCUCUUGGAGAGUGUAUGGCUUAAAGAUAACCGACAACCGACCGACCUCAGAAUGCCAAUUAGCGAGCGGUAAUCCUUCAUCGAUCUACUUCAAAGACAAGGACACUCUCCAGUUAUCCUACAAAAUGAUCCUAAUAGAGCAGCAAUUGUCCCGUAUGCUUCAAUUAUCACGCCUGAUGGAAUUGGACCAGUCGAUAGGAAGCGCACACAACAGACGCACGUGGAACCAUGAAUGUUCCCCUUCCCCUUCCCCCCUAGGGGUGUUUCGCGAAUCGAGCCGCUCGAGCUCGACUCGAGCUCGUCAAUAUCGAGUUCGAGUCGAGCUCGAGCUAAUUAAGUCGAUCUCGAGCUCGAGCUCAAGCUCAAAAACAUUAAGCUCGUUGGCUCGCGAGCUCAAUUAUAUAUAUUUUUUUUUAUUUUUUAUUUUAAUAGUAAAAUUACAUAUAUAUCCCUAAUAUUUUAUUAUUUAUUAAAAAAAUUAUUAUUUUAUUUAUUUUUAAAAAUAAAUAAUUAUUUUUUAUUUUUAAAAAAUAAAAUAAUAAUUAUUAUUUUUUUAUUUUUUAAGCUCGAGCUCGAGGCCGAUUCGAAUUUGACUCGAGCUCUAGCUCGAUAUUUUAAGCUCGUCGAGCUCGAGCUCGAGCUUCACAAAAUUAACUUGAGCUCGGCUCGAUUAGCCAAAGCUCGGCUCGAGCUCGGCUCGUUUGCACCCCUAUUCCCCCUCCCCCACCCCACCCCACCCCAAAAAGACAAAAUCCAUGACAAGCUUGUCAUCCUUCCAAAUCACUAACAUCCAUUUGAUAAAACAAGGCCAACUUUGUGGUGUGGUCACCCUAUCUCUUCCCACUCUGCAACUUGCAAAUUUGCCAAACUUUGUUCAGGAUGAUGUCUCUGUAUCAGCACCCGUACAUCUACAAACCAAGACUCUUGAGCCUUACUCAAGAGUCUCAGAUUUCCCCACCCGUGCGCCCGCGAAUUCCAUGAAAAACAAGAAUCUCAGGCCACACCCUAAGAACACGUGCCAUACACAGCAAACUCACAGAGAGACAGAGAGAGGGAGAGAGAGAGAGAGACUGACGCAAGGAGGGGGUGAACGAGAAACCUGAGAACCAAAACUGGGUUUAUUGUCUCACUAAUAUUAAUAUAUCAGGCGAAAACGUAAAAAUUUACUGACAGCAAAGGAAGUUGGACCUUUAAAGAGGACAAACAUGAAGAACCCUAUGUACACUGCGCCACCAGUUCCGAAUACUCGAUUCUCAUCCUCCCAUAAAAGGCCAACUUCCCCAGUAUACAUCCCUAUUACCAACUCCUCCAUCCCACCUACACCACAUUUCACUAAUACAUCCUAGAGAAACCAAACUGAACAGUUCCUACUUUUCUACUCGCAGCGGCACUCGCAGCUGCUGCAACUCCUAUUCCACUAAAUUGAGCUUUUGCCUGCAACAAGUUUGUAUCGAUUGUGAUCCUAUCAUCAACUUGGUCCACCUUUGUCCCUGGAGUGCGUGUCAUGUAAAAUGGGUUGCCGUCAAUGUUUAUUGCUAUAUCAGGGGCCAUUUUUGCAGCCAUGCCACAUUGAGGCAUUUGUCGUCCUUGUGAAGACAAUUUCCUCUCAUUCUCCAUCACAGAUUUUUCCGGCUUUACUGUACCACUACCAUGAUAACAAUAUGCAGAAGGGAUCCCCUGUGGUGGAGGUUGAAGGACAGGGUUUCUGACAACUGUUCUAGGAUCGUAUGCUUCUUUAUUGACAGUUCCAUUCUCGUAUGGUAAGACUGGCCCCACCGCCUUUCCUGGUUUAGCUGGAUAUCAGGAAUUCAAAUGUUUAGCCAACAAAUGUCGAACACAAAAUCCAGUUAGCAGAUUGCAGAGAAAGAGAUGAGGUGACUUAGUGAUGGACAGAGAAAUGCUCAUGAGAGUAAUAGAUGCUGUUGUUUCACAACCAGUUAUGUUCUGGUUAAUCAAUACUAACUCAUAAGGAUGAUGAACAAUCAAUUAAACAAAGAGAUUGACAUGAAAGAAACUUCACCUUGAGGGAUCCUCUGCUGUGUCUGCAAGGUUCUGGACAGACUACCAGGAAGCCCAUCAGAAUCUCUGGGAUUUCUACAACAUGGCUCUUCGCCGUUUUGCCUGUCCUUCAAAGUAGGAGCUCUUAACUGUUCUUUAGGAGGAACUGCAUUCGAAUGUACAAUAGUAGACCUACGAAAUAAAAGGGAAAAUAAAAGACACACACAUUGUCACCAUCAUUAUGCACAGCCAAGUAAUGCAAUACAAUUAAGUUAUUCCAGAUAUGCCCCAAGGUCACCAUAUCCGAUGGACCAGAAGCUGAUAAAGCAUUUCUCAUCAUAAAGACAACUUAUAGCUAACAAACACGGAACCACAAACACAACUUCACAAUAAAGUGUAAAUUUUGAUCAGAUCAAAUCAUCAAGCCACUUGCAGUAGUUUCCAUAGAAAAUGAAACAUUUUCCCAAUGAUAUAAAGACAAAUUCAAUUAGCUUGUCAAUAAUAACAAUCCAUUUCUAAGUGAAAAAAUUUAAGGCAAAUAAAGUUCAUAUGUAUUUCAUCUUUAUCAGACAGACUAGGAUGCAAAGUUCCAAUUUGGUUCGUGAAGCAAGAGUCCCCUCGCUUUUCUCCAAAGACUAUAUAUGAGGCUGCUGCUUAAUGACCAAAGUACUAUUUUGUGCCGGAGGGGGGGGGGGGUUCUGGUGCAAUCCUGGAAACCUUUUGGGAGUAAAAAAGGAAACCAAAUGCAUACGGUCUUUCCAUAAGCUGUAACACAAGGGAAUAGACUGUAUACAUUGGAUAUUCAGUACAAUACACUACAGCUUGGACGUUGUUGAACCAUUCACUGGACAAGUUUUCUCCAAGUUCCCAUGGGGAAAACUCCUCUAUAUUCUAAACAGGUUUUCUCGAUCAAGGCCAACAAUCAACUAUACAUCAACGUUUCCUCUAAGCAAAUGGAAGUGCUUAACCAAGAAACUGGUUGAUAACCAUCCCAGCCCACAGUUUAACAACUUCAGAUUAAAAACUUUAGAUAGUCAACACAUCAAGUUGAGGAAGAAGCAAAACACACAUAAAAGAUCUAAAGUUACCUAGGAAGAGAGACAUGCUUUCUUUCAAAGGGGAUCACUGUACCAUUUUUACCACCAUUUUCUUCUAGAUGUGCAAACUGCUUUCUAAAUUGAUCGACGGCACUGCAGAGAGCAGAUACACCAAAUAUCAGUGACAACAAAGUAGACAAGUUGAGAGAGAUUUACAACAUGCAAAUAAGAUAAGGCACAGAGAAACUCUUACUACCUAGGAUAGAGAAAAUUAGUCCUUUCUAUUCCAUUCAUGUAAUCUUUCAACAGCUGAGGAUGAUAUUCUAGUAUUUCGCGGAAUAUUAAUUCCCUUACGUCCUCCUUGGUAACCCUUCUCCUCUCAAAUUCAAACUCCAUCUUUGAAAUAGGCAGACAAGAUGGUUCUCUUUCAACUUUGGCUAGUCCCCUGAAGUAAGGAUCAGCUAAUGCCUAUCACAAAAUGGUUAGGAUGAUUAUCAGCUUUUUAUGAUCAACCAGCUAGCACAUUGAGAUGUGAAAACUAUCAAAGAGUGGAUGGACAAAGCAUUGCAGAAAGCAAAGUCUAAUAAACUGUACCACAACUUUUUUGAAAAACAUGUACAAAUCUGAACAAGAUAAAGAAGGGAAUUUCAUAUAAUGAAGACUAAACCUAAGACUUAAAAGUCUCUGACUUCCAUAUGAAAAGUAAAGGCAGAAGCAUAUAAUGCCAUGACAAACCUCUUCAGCAGUAGGCCGGUCCUUUGGAUCGAAAGCAAGCAGCUUUUCUAACAGUCGUAGAGCUAAUGGAUCUGCAUUUGGAAACUUCUGUGAAAAAGGCACAGGCUGUUUCUUCCGCAUACUUGUAAGAUAUCUCCUAGCUUUAUCAUUUCGAACCUGAACCGAACCCACAACAAUCUCAAAAAUUCACAGGUAUGUGACUGCCAAACAUUGAAAGAAGCACAUCUUCAAACAUAGAUCUGUUCUAAAAAAAAAAAAAAGUAGGACCAUACUCUAGAAAUGGUAUCCAUCGAUGGUGUGCCAAGAAGAUCUGUCAUCAAAUCCAGUUGGUGGACAACAUUUUUCCCAGGAAACAGUGGUUUCCCAGUCAAAACCUCAGCAAAAAUGCAGCCUAUGCUCCAAAUAUCAAUUGCAGGUGUAUACUGCAUCCAAAUGGAACACAUUAAAGAAGAUAAACAGUAAAUGAGCUUCAAAUUUUGUGCAUAUUGCAAUAUUCUGCACUGAAUAAAGCUAUCUGGAAGACUUGGACAUGCAUUUCAGCCAAGGUGCGUCAAACUCACAAAUAAUUUCCUUAAACCAACAGUUGUUGCCAUGAAUUUUGCCUCCAUUUCACCACAAUAACCCGUGGAAAAUGUCCCGAAAAUCUCAAUCUUUCAAAUGCAUAAGCCAACUAUAUCUUUAUUUUGGUACACAAGCAAAACACCAUAUUGUAUAAAUAAGAAAACACUUUUAACUUCAGCUCCAUUCAGAUUAAUUGACCUGGCCAGAUGGCACAUACUAAAUAAAAGUUCACUGUUUCUGUGUCUCAAUUUACCAGGUGGCGUAUACCAUGCAGAAUCAUACCUUGGAGAAAAAUGAUCCACAUAACUCUGGAGCUCUAUACCAUCUUGUGGCAACAUAAUCCUGUGAUUUGCAGACUAUAACUUACAGCAAUCGAGGAAAAACAAAUCCAAGUUUAUCCGUAAUGAGAAAUCAGAAAAAAGUGACUACGCAUAAGCAAUGGUUCAUUACAUACCGUCCAAAACACUGUUGUAGGUGUGUCAUUGAAUGCAACUCUGGCCAGCCCAAAAUCACAAAUUUUAAGCUUGCAAUUUGCAUUAGCCAGUAUAUUUUUGGGUUUCAAAUCUCGAUGAUAAACAUUAGCUGCAGUGUCAGAUAACAAACAUAAGAUGUCUAAACAAGAAGGACAAUAUAAUCUUGGCACAUUUAGAGCCUAUAAGAAAUAAAUAAGCCAUAGCAAAGCUAAAAGGAAAAUAUAUAAUCCAAGAAAAAUACUACAUCAAUUUUAAAGUGGAAAUUUUACUCAACAUUGACUUCUAAAGUUACUUCCCAAUCAUAAACAAUUCUAGGUCUGACUGAAGAAGAGAAGACUCAGAUGAGUUGGAAAGUGGAAUAAGCAUUAGGCAACCUGUGUGAAUAUAUUUCAGAGCACGAAGCAACUGGUAAAGAAAAAACUGGUAAUGCUCCCGAGUCAGAUCAUCAUUUGCCUUGAUAACCUGGUGGAGAUCAGACUCCAUGAGCUCAAAUACAACAUAAAUAUCUUUAAACUCUCUUCUCGAAGGUGGAAGCAUAAUAUGCUUAAUUUCAACGAUGUCCGGAUGACGAAGAAGUCUAAGAAGCUUUAUCUCACGGAGAAUUCGGGCCGCAUCAGAAAUGUGCUCAAAAAUGUCAUGUAUCUUCUUAAUCGCCACUUUUUCACCUGUAUGAGUGUCAAUUGCAGAGCAAACAACACCGUAACUUCCCUUUCCAAUCACCUCCUGAAUCUUAUACCUGCUUGCAUCACCAUAUUCAGAGAAGAAAUCCAUCUCUGUUGAGCUCUGUGAAAUAAAAUAAACUCAAAUUAGUACAAAUAGAGGAUAGGGAAAUUAGUAAACUUGAGCACAUAACUAGUAGUUUGCCACUGAACAAACAACUAAUUAUUCCUUCCAAAGCAGAAACAAAAUAACAUGUUCUACUUAUAUUUUGACUACCCUUAAUGCCACAAUUGUCUCAGAAUCAAAUCAUAUUUCAGAGGGACAUUAUGCUCACAGCAUCUCAUAGGAAGAACCGAAUUGUACUGUAUAAAUAAGCAUAGAAGGAGGAACUACAAAUUCACUUUUGCCAGGUGCUUUUCUUGCAGAGUAAUUUUCCAUCAUGUGAUCCUCUGAAUAAUCCACAACAGAUUUGGCAAAAGGUAACAAGGAUUCUAGACUCUUGCAGAUAACCAAUUCCAAUAACAAAAAGCUUGAAUGUCGAGAAGAAAAUCUAAACAGGCAGAUGAUAUCCAAUCAACAAAAAAAAUUUUGUCAAAUAAGAAGUUCAGACCAAAUUAAACUAUAUUCUAUCCCACAAUAUUUACUUGAUAUUGUUAGCAUACUGACAUAAGGCCAAAAAGAAAAAAAAGCUUCUUAUCCUUACCUUCAACAUUGGGAAAUGAUCUUUUUCACUACUCGAGUAAAUCAAAAGAAUAAGAGAAAUAAAUUCAUGUGAAUUAACAAAACGAAUGACAUAACAAGAAAAAAGGCGGAAAAACGACCUUUAUACAGCAGAAUCAGGUUCUUUCAUACAUACAGAGAGAAAUGAAACCAUAAUUCACAAACAUUUCAUUCAGGAUGUUUAAGAUAAGAAAAAGAAGCAUUUAUUAUUCCAGCACAAGAAUUGUAAACUACCCACCCCUCCUUAAUGCCCCUCAUCAGAAUCAACCAACAAACAAAUUCACAUCAUAUUCCAAAAAAAAAACACAAAGUGAUUAAAAUAUAACUUUUCGACUUUUUUUUGUCGGUUUUCACAUGUAUAUUGGAAAUUUCAGGAUUAAUUAUGAUUUCAAGAAUAAAAAAGCUCACUUUUUUUCUAUGAUCAGGCUGCAUUUUGGGCAAAAUAUCCAAAACCCUCUGAAAAGUCAGGAAAAUUUUUCAAGGUUUUCGAUCAAAAUCAAUGGAGAUUCGUCCAAAACUUCAGCCACAUUUGCCCCAGCGGCCACGGCUACGAAUCAAAAACGACAAAUCCCACCUAGUCCGCUUCGAGUUAUUAUUCAAUUCAACAAUUCUGUCCAAUUCCCUCAUACACUUCUUGUCUUCUCCUCCAAUAUCCCCUACUUUUCUAAACCUACCACCAAAAACGACGCCGUUCAAUUCGUUUUCCUCCUCGCCGCCAACUAAACCAAUCAAAAUCAUAGAAAAAUCCUCAUAAUUAUUCAAAGAUGAUCAAAAACUCAAAUUUUCCUAUCCGAAAACACCACUCCUCCUCAUCAAUGCAUAUAUAUCGAUUUAUAUAUACAAUCACGUAAAGAAGAUGCACAGCAAUUCAAGAAACCCUAGGAGGAGGAAGGGUCGGAGGUGGAGAUCUGUCGGUGAGGAGAGAGAAAGAGAGAGGGUUUUAGAGAGCGAAAAUUAAGGGGUGAGGUGAAUUUGUAGAGAGAGAAAGUGUCAGCUGGAGAUUAUAUAGCCUAUACAUUCUCAGCCGUGGAUCUAGGGGGUUGUGUGUGUAAUAUAUCUGUUUGCACGUGUAUGGAGUGAGAAAUGCAUAUUUCCACUCAAAUUUUUUUUUUUUGAAAUUCACACAUUGUUUUAUCAUAUAAUUUAAUAAUUAAAAAUUAUGACUAAAAUGAUAGUAAAAGUGUAAUUAAUCAAAGUGAGAGUGCAAAUAAUAUUUUUUAUAUAAAAUUAUGCAUGUAUUUGGGAGGUAAAUUUGUAUGCUUAUUAUUGAGGAUUUUUGCAAUAUCUUAUGUAUAUUGACAUUUUCUUAUUGUUGCAUGUAUUUGGGAUGUAUAUUCGUACUUAUUAUUGAGGAUUUUUACAAUUUAUUAUGUAUAUUGACGUUUUCUAAUUAUUAUGUAUAUUGACAAUAGAAUUUCAAUCUUUUCACGUGCAAAAACUAAAAUAGUUGAUCGAAGCAUAGUGUUUGGACAUGUGAUUAUUUAAAAAGAAUUUGUCAUUUUUAACUAUGGUUUUAUCUUCUUAAUUAAUUUAUCAUUUACGUAUAUCACAUCACAAAAAAUAUAUAUAUUACAGUGAAUAAUACAAAGAAUUUUGAAUAAUUUUCAAUUCAAAGAGACUUUUUUUUUUUUUUUGGGGAAAUUUAGGAGAAGCCAACUCAAUGUUGGAUUUUUGGAGAAUGACAACUACAAGGUUGGAGAAUUUCGAACAAAACGAUAUUAUUGAAUUUUGAUUUGAUUUCUUAAAUGGCUCACUAUAAUUAGCUAGAUUUAGGUUAAUUUCUCACAAAAGCGAAGUUAAUUUACAAAAAAAAAAGUAUCUAAAUGAAAGAUGCAAUCGAUAUAAAUAUUUAUAUUCAUGUGAUAAAUUAUGUAUAAAUAUAAAUAUGUAUAUUCUCGUGAUAAAUUAGGUAUAAUUUAAGUGCAGUAAUGGCCCGUGCACUUUGUUGGUUGUGCUUGCUUACCAUUUGGCAUGUACGUAGUUUUCUGCGUAGUGCUCAUCUGAUAUUGGGUUGGCAGGGUAUGGUGAUAUCCACGUGGAGGACAACUGGCAGGCAGAGUUCAAAUAGCAUAUGGUUCUUGCUUUUUUUGGUUUGUUUCUUUCUUUCACUUUGUAUUGCUCUUUGACAUAAAGUUUGCUAGUGCUCAUUUGUUUUGUUGCAAUAUAAAAGAAUUAAAGAUUUAUUAGUGGUAAGUUGCCAUAGAUUGGGAACCUUUUUGUGUUUUGGGGAAUGGUUUUAUGUUUCAACUGGGAUCCGGGUUGCAACUUGAUCUGGUGUCUAAGGUGAUCCAUUAGAUGAGCACUACUACUUCACUUGUAAAAUAAAAAUAAAGAAAUGAAUGUUGACAACUAAGGUAAAAGAAACCAUUAAAAAGGACAAAAAGGGCAAUGAAACCAUGCCCCCGGAAAAAAUGGUACUAAUAUUUAAAAUAUAAAAUAUUGAGCAAAUUAUCUGAAUAGCCGCUAAUCUUUUUAAAUAGUAAUAUUUAAACCGCUCAACUUUUAAGAGUACGUAUUAACUCACUAAACUUUCAAAAGUGUGGAUUUUGGGCAUUCUGCCUGUUUGUUUUUACUGUUAAGUUUGCCAGAUUUAAGAGUUGCAUGAGUUACAAGACAUUAUCAGAUCUAGCAAAAUUUAUGGUGAAAGCAGUCCAAAAUUCACACUUUUGAUAGUUUAGCGAAUAAAUAUAUGCUCGUAGAUGUUGAGCGGCUAAAACUCUACUAUUCUAUUUAAAAAGUUUAGUGACUUAUCCGGCUUAUUUGCCCUAGGACCUUUAACAUGCUUUUGUUUUCAGUUGGUAGUUGGGGUUUCAUGGGGAAAGCUUGGAUGAUAACUUGUAUCUCGGAUAUCAUCUUGGAUGAAAUCUCACAACUUAAUUGCAUUAUCAUAACACGAUUAGGUAUUUAAUUUGUACGAUGACCUAAGCCCUCUCCCUGUAACAUAAUAGAAAAAGGAAUAGCAAUGAAGUCAGGAGGUGAAUGAGAUAUCAACGAGAAAUUCUCUAUUUGCUGUAUUUUUUAAGUACUCGAGCAGCAAAGCUUCUUCAAAUUCUUUUUCUUUUUCUUUUUUUCUUGGCCAAGAUGUGUUGAAAUAUUUCUUGUCAUUGUUCUAAGAGAAAGACAAUAAUAUUUAAGCUUUGAAGUUUCUUUCAUACUAGUUUUCCUUAGUGGGGGCGGGCUUGUUCAUCCGUUGCACCUAUGUUUUGUCCUCCUCCUAACCCUUCUUGUUCAAUGUUCAAUUCUAAUUAGACGACCGACACUUGGGUACUUUAGUUUAGAAGGUACCCAAUGAUGUUAUAACUUAGAAUCUUUGACACCUCACUUGUCCUAAUUGUACUUCAUUUCUGCUGGAAUCAUCAUUUGAGCAUUUGUAAAUUUAAAGGUUAUUUAUACGAGUGCUUGGAUUGUAGUUUUCUACUAAAAAAUUAUUAUAUUUUUUUGUAAAUAUAUUUUUUUAUUAUAUUUUACUUCACAUGUAUCAAAUCGUUAUAAUAUUUUUGUAUAAAAAUUCAGAAAAAAAAAAACAGUGAUCCAAACGAAAAGAAUUUUAUAUGAAAUUGGGGUUGGAGACUGUACCAACUUUGUAAUUUUUUUUUCUGAAGAUGAUAAUAAUUAUAUAAUUUAUUUUAUCAUAAAUCACAGAGGAGGAGGAGGGAGCCUAAAAAAAAUUUGUGUUAAAAACUAACAGGCACACAGAUCUUAUUAAACAAAAACCUUACUAAUAGGCACGAGUGUUUUGGUGCCGCCAUUGGAAUUAUUUUCGCUGUAAUUGUAUCAACUUUCCAAUUGAUGUCGUUCAAGUUUGACUGCAAGACCCACUCUGUCAGAUUUGUACAGAAGGCUGCUAGUCUGACCACAUAUUCCAUAAACAAAAUCAAUUCAGUUUUUAUAAAUCGUACAUCUGUUACUUCUCAGUGCCGUGCUUCAGUUAAUUUGCCAUGCAAUCACAAGGAAACGGAUUUCUCAAAGGAAAUUAAUAUCAUUCAAUCAUUGAUUAGUUUUUUCUUUAAUAACCAACCAAAAAAAAAAAAAAAAACUUAGGGCCUCAUUUGGCAAGUGAGUUUGUUAGGUAUUUAUUUAAAAUUUUACUGUAACUUACUGUAGAAGUUUUUAAAAAAAAAAAUUUAAAGUGUAUAGUUUAAAAUUUUUUAAAAAAUUUUUGAGAUUACUGAAAGUAAAAUUUUUAAAAAACUUGUAACAGACAAAUUUGAUAAAAAAAACUCAAGUGCAAGAAUUUCAGCGAGGACAAAUAAGCUAUAUAUAUGAUUCGACACUCGUCGACAACUUUUGCCUUAUAAAGAUCACCGAAUGGAGCCCAUAGAUCAGGCCAAAGUAGCUUCUUUUUUUUUUCCAAAAAAAAAAAAAAAAGGUAUUUGUUUGUUUAUAGACGCUUUGAUUCAUACGCUUUACUAAAUUUGUCUGCUUUGAUGUAGCUGUCAUGGUUGAGGACAAAUUAUCAUAUGAACAUAUUAUCCAAAUAGAUCCGCAAAAAGGGUUAGUGACUUUGCUUUUCUCAAUUUCUCGUUGCAUGUAGGAGCAAGAUCCGUCGCCAACAAUGAUUAAAGAACAAGAUUUGGCCUAAGAAUGAAAAGAAAGAAUAUAUCUUUGGGUUGAUACUUACACAUGUAAAACACCCAAAGGCCAAUAACUCAUCAGUCUCAAAGAAAGCAGAUGUGCUGUCAUUUUCCUUUAGUCAUUCACUUUGUCGACAACAAAAGCUGCGUGUGGUUUCAUGUUUUCCGGUGGCGUGUGUAGCAAUGCAUUGAAGGGAAACUCAAUACAACAAUUUGGGGGAAGGAAAGGAGCAUCACAAAUCUUUCUUUGCUCAACUGAUUUAAGGGAUUCCUAAUUCGUUUAUUAAUCCAUAGCCUAACAUGUAGUCGCUCAAAUAAGGCUGCUCUUGAUAAAAUUGAAGUUUAAAAAUUGAAAUCUGAAAUCUGAAGUUUGAAUUCAUUAAAUUAUUGAUCAGCUGUAAAGCAUUAAAUCAAAUACAUUUGAAUAUAUUUUAUAUUCAGUGAUAAAUGAAUAGGUUAUCACUUAUUUUUUAAAACAAGUUUUAUCUAGAAAAUUCAGUGCUACUUAAUUAAUUCAUAUGUUUAAUUGUAGGUUAUCAAAUACGUCUGAACAUAUUAAGAUAUGAAUCCAUUAAAUUUAAAUAAUUGUUUGCUCAAACUCAUGAAGCUCUAUUCUUGUGUGUGUUUUUUCGCUUUUUUUAUUUUUUGUUAUGAUGGAAUUAAAAUUAACCUACAAUGAUGGGAUCAAUAGUAUAUGAGAUUAAUUAAUUCGCUCCAACAGAAAAAAAAAAUCUAAAAUUGCACGAACUUAACGCUUCCCAACAGUAGAUCUAUUUAAAAAUUUUCAGAUGUAUUGUAUUUUUAAAUUGCAUAUCUGAUCUGUUAAUUCUAAUGCAUGUUUAAUCCAUUAUCAGAACACCAAUUUAUGCUGAACGAUUUCUAGCAAUUCGUUAAUGAAAUUUGCUUUUUAUUAAAAGGGAAAAACACUUCCCAACUGAAAUGUGACAUGCACAGCAAAACCCCUCCUUAGAAAACUGCCAUCCUUUGCUUUGCAUCGUAAGGAGCUGUAAUGAACCUAACAGGCAAUCUCUUACCUUUUCUUGAAGCAAACCCCACAUCCAGUGAACGUAGUUUAAAUUCAUUAUCCGGAUUGAAAAAUGGGACUUGCCCAUUCUUUGCCCUUCCUUUAGAUAGAUUACAAGUUUAGCAAUUUCUCAAGUCUUAUUGUCAAAUAUUAGGACGAGGACUUGUUAAAUGUUUGUUAGCACGUCUUCUUUGGCCUAUUGACUCUAUUCUUUAGCCAAGAACCAGACUUGAAGUCUAAGGUAUCAAACUUGCCCUCUUAUCCGACAUCCGAGGGCAAAAGUGAAGAGGACGCGGCAGCAUAAAUUCCUUAUUAGGGUAAUCCUUCUUCAUGUGAAAAUUUCAAGUAUCAUGUGAAAAUUAUGGGUCUAAACAAAGAUAGUGUUUAGUUAAGACGAAAAUCUUCCUGAAUUUUGAUGCCUUGGAGUAUCUUAUCUUUCUCAGGUGAAAUUAGUUCUAACAAAAAUAUGACAAGUGAAAUUUUGUCUUAAAAAUGUUGGAUUUAAGUGAAUUUUCUAAGAACCACAACCUCCUGUGACCCGAAAAAAGGAUGAGACCAUAUACGAGAGCAACAUGCAACUAAGCUUUGAUUGGAACCCACAACUCCCUUUUCAUCAAAUGGGAACCACUCAACUAAUGAAUGUAAUAGCAAAGUUGGCUUAAAAGAGGAACAAAUAGGCCAAAUGUCUCAUUCGUCUUUAUACCAACUGAAAUGGGAUGAUAAAUAAUAAAGAUCACCAGGAGGAGUUUGGGCAUUAAUUUAACCUUCAUUUCCACUUUUCAUUUCCUAUCGAUCAUUUGUACUUUGUUCAAAGUGCCAAGAACAGGAUUGUUUACCUGACUCAGGGCAUCAAGUUUUUCUUUUCUUCUUUAGUAUCAGAACAAUAAAAAUAUAUACACGACCAAUAGAUACCACUAUAAAUGGCAAGAUAAUUAAGCAACCGACAAAAAAAAAAAAAAAAAAGAUUUCCUCGGCGUCUUCUAAUUUGUGUUUGAAUAAUAGAUUAUUUGGGAUAAUUUAUUUUAAAAAAUAAUGCAACACUUUUUUUUUUUAUGUGAUGUAUGUGAGAUAAAAAGUUGAUUGAAAAUUGUAUUGCUGAUGUAAACAAAUAAAUUUUGACAAAUAAUUCACUGUCCAAACAAACCUGCACCUAAAUCGUUGCUGAAAUGUACACUAGUUUAUAUAGGAUUUGAUUGAACUCAUGCUUCAUGAAGCUUGAAGUCAACAUAUUUAAUUCAUCAAACACCACGAUGUGAUUCUUUCACCCAAAAAGAAGUUUUAAUUAGGUAAAGUUUAUGACAAGGAUUCAACAGCAUCAACCUUUUUUUUUUUUUUUUUUAGUUAUCAAUGCUGACAACUUACGCGGACUCCAAGUAGAAACGUGCAUCUAAAACACAACCACUAUCUUGUUCACACUGCAGUUAAAGGUUUGUUUGGAUUGAAGAUUAUUGGAACUUUUUUAAAAAUAAUAUUGUACUAGCAUUUUUUUAUACUGUAAUAUAUUGGAGAUAAAAAAAAAAACGUUAUUCAAGAUAGAAAAAAGGGCGAAUUUCCAAAAAUAAUGCGCUUGAGGAAAAAAAGUCAGAAAAAUGGUGUUGUUGGCGGAUCUUGGAUAAUUGAAGGGUCGCCGCAAAUGUCAUUAUCGGCUACUGAAAAAAUCAAUUUUCUUUUCCAUUUUUCUUUUGCGAUUGAAAAGGAAAAUUUUGUUUUCCAUUUUUUUUUUAAUAUGCUUAGCCGCAUGCCCUUUUUUCAUAGCCGCAUGCACUAUGCGGCGACCAUUUUAACACCCUUUUUUUUUUUACUUUUUAAUAGCCGCAUGUACCAAUUUUUUUUUAUUUUUUUAUGAAACCAUAAAGUAUAAUAACUGAACCCUAGAGCCUAAUUCCAAAUUUAUAAAACCUAAACCCUAAAUCCAAAUUAAUAAAUUUUCAAUACUAAUUCAUUAAACUUGAAUCUUAAUUUAUAAACCCUAAUCGUAAUUUAUAAACCCUUAAUCCAAAUUGAUGAAUCGAAAACCCUAAUUUAUAAAGCCUAAACCCUUUAUUUAUAAAGCCUAAAUCCAAAUAUAUAAAUCUUAAACUCUAUUUUUUAAAGUCAAAAUCCUAAUUCAUAAAACUUGAACCCUAAUUUAUAAAUCCUAAAUCGUAAUUUAUCAUCCUCAAUUUAAACUCUAAUUUUUAAAGUACCAUAAACAAUGUAGCAUUCAUAUAAUAAAUGUUAAAUGCAGCAAAUUGAAAAAUGCGCAGAUCCAUCUACGGCUUCGUUUUCCAGUUAUAGCAAACCAUAAACCAACAAUCGGUUGCACAAUGUGAAAGCACAAAUGCACAACCACAAUGCUGGCAGUUCUUCGAUAAAAAAUCUAAAGAUACAAUUGCGGCGACACAAUGGAAAUGAACAAAUGCAGAACCACAGUUGCAGGAGUUCUUCAAUACAAAACCCCAGCAAUAGAACGAAAAAAUUAGGGAGACUCACAAAGGAAGAAGUUGGGAGAGAUAUGCACGCGGCUAUGAAAAAAGGGCUAGCCGCAUCUGCAUGCGGCUAAGCAUAUUCAAAGAAAAAAAAAUGCAAAACAAAUUUUCCUUUUCAAUUGCAAAAGAAAAAUGAAAAAGAAAAUUGAUUUUUUCAGUAGCCGAUAAUGACAUCUGUGACGACGCUUCAAUUAUCCAACAUCGGCCUAUACCACCACUUUUCGAACUUUUUUCUCCUCAAUCGCGUUAUUUCUGGAAAUUACGCUAGAGAAAAGUGAUUGAAAAGUGCAAAAUUUUUUUAAAAAAAAAUUAUUCAAAAUAGAGAAAAAAGUAGUUGAAAAACGUGCGAAUAAAUCAUAAGGUGAUGCACGAUUCACCUCCAAGCAAUCUAAGCAUAAAGAAGAGAAAAGAAAAGACAACCCAAACUUGAAUAUUAAGUUCCUCCACUUCAAUGGAUCCAGUCCGCAAUUUAGAAAUCCAUAGCUUUCAUGUACGUUUGAUUCAAGUAUAAACAUCAAGAUUAUAAGUUAAAAACUUUUUAAGUUGUGUGAAUUACGCCUAACCAGAGUUUAAUAUAAUAAUAUGAUACAUCCUACAUGAUCUCUUAAUUAUUCCACAAUUGAACUGUUCAACACAUCAUGGUAAUUAGCAAACUCGAAGAGAUUUGGAAAGUACAUAUUGACCCCUCCAGGCUACACCUGCCCGAAUUGUCUUCCAUGGUAAUGGUUGAUUCCCCUCCUUCCAGAACUCCCGGCUUCGUAUCUAAUCAUUGUCUCUUCUACAGCAACUGUUGAGUCCUCCGCUGCAAAAACUCCCAGCUUCAUAUCUGCUUAUUCAAGAACACGGCCUCACUUCGUCGGAGACUCAAGGAAGUCCCAAAACAUUCACCUCCAGUUUAUUGGAGAUGGCAUGCAGCAUUACUAAUCCAUGCAGAUAAGUGACUAGCGAACGUAAAUAGGCACCACUGGGUGCAGUCGUUACUGCAAAAUCUUCAACAUAGAUUCUACAGGUUGGCCGAGUUGUGAGUCGCUCGAGUACAGGAGCAUUUCGUGCCAAAUAGCAAGCGAAAUCUAUUUCAUUCAAUGACGCUUUAAAUCCAUCGAGAUCUACCUCUUUUAGACAAGCAAGAGGCUCUGUAGGCCAAUUUCUUCCCCUUUUUUGAUUUAUACCUUCACAAAGGAACUGAAACAAAAAUAUAUUGUUCAAUUAGGCUUGUCAUCUAUUCGAGACUUUGUUAGCCAAGAAACAAAUAGCAGAAGCCACAGAGGAUGCAGAAAGAAGCAAAAUCAAGAUUCAAAGAUAAAGAUUAAAACCUGCUUUUCUUUGUAAGUCUCAACUCACAUCAAAGUUGUUUCGAAGAAUCUGAUCUACUAUUUUUUACUAUCUGCUUAAUAUAGGAAAUAGCAGUUUAAAACGUUGCCACUUUCCUCAACAGCAAGUAUAGCAGAAAGUGGGGUAUGUAUGAAAUAAGUCCCCAGAAUUCACUUCCAACAUUUUAGAAACAAUCUCCACUCAUAGCUACUUGCAAAACUGCUGUACCAUAUUGGAUAAAAUACAAAGCAUGUAAAUGCGUCAAUUUGUAGAGAUAGAUUAAUGUCUUUUAUCAUUUAACUUAGUUUCCGAUCAAUAUAAUAAUUUGAAGAAGCAAAUUUCUACCUUAAAAGCACAAUACAUAAGGAAAAGAUAAUUUUGCACGGUAAGAGAUGUUAUAAAACAAAUCUCAACAAGGGCAGCGCAAGCAAUGACAAAAAUCAAGCCAAAUUCAAUUCAACCUCCAAUCUAAAACCGAGUGAUAUUAUUUAAACAUCUACAGAGGAAUACUUGUUUUCCUUUUUCAAAGACUAGCUCUUCACAAGAUUCCAUUCACCCCCCAGUAUCAUCAGUUAUGAAAGUUAAACCUGGACAGACCAGCAAAUAUAUUAUACCCACAACCAUCGAGGAUUACCCCAAAUAACAAAAUUUACACCCAUACAAGAUGAAAAGAAAUCCAUUCAUUCCAAUUCAUCAGCUCUAUUACAAAGUAAACCUCACUCUUGAUGGAAGAUGAGUUGGGCUUGUAUCGAGUUUGACUGUAAACCCUUUUGCUAGCCAUCAGCACAAAUCCACAAAUUAGUUCGAUUUACAGACAUUCAUAGAUUGCAUUACAGAUGCUCUUGCAUCCCAAUGCUAGCCCAAACUUACCAAUUGAGGCCAACGAAGAACAGAAAGGUAAAUCUGAAAAAGCAGCAGUAGUAAAAGUUGGAGUAAUACAGGUAAGAUUUAAGAAAACUAGGGGACACAAAUCCAGUAUUUCACCAAGUAUACAUUUAGACGUUUACCUAAAAAGCAUGAAUCUAGCAUAAGUAUCACUGAGACUAAAGGAAUCGUUUAAGCAUUUGAUUGCCCAACCGCCCAGCAGAAAAGGACCAGAAAAUUAUUAAGCAAAUAAAAAAAAUAACAUGCCAAGCCAAAUGUCCAAUCUCUUUAGCAAAUCUCAAACAAGUAAAGCGCCGAAUUUGUUGAUUAAAUUGCUUUCAAUAAGUGGAGUCAAAAAAUAAGAUUCCUUAAAAAGUUGUCAAGAAACUGCAAAUGACAAUAAUUGGAGGAAAGGAAAAAUGCAAAAAGCCAAAUCUAACCUGCAGACGAAGUUUCUCCAAAAGUGGGCAGGCCACCAGAAUAGGUGCAAUUUCUAGUUCAUCAGCCAAAGUUUCGAUAAUGGGCACAAAUGAUAAUGUCCUAAGAUUGCUGAACAUAUCCAUCUUUGUAGGCACAUACCGUAUCUGAAUCAGGGGGGAAAAAAAGAGUGAGAUAAAAAAAACAUAACUACCAAUACAAGGAAUCGGAGGCAAAAUAACUAGCACCAAGCAUCAUAGUGGAAUCAGUACAAACCUCAUUGGUGCGUAUUUGGAACAACAGAAAUUUUAACUUAGUACAGUCCUUGAAAACUUCUCCAAACAUAUAAGGCAUGGCAUUAGGGCCUCUAACGUGGACACGUGCAUCUUCCAGAUUGGGAACAUCGAGAGAAAAUUUCAUCGUACCCUCCGCAAAGCAAGAAAAAGUAUUGAGGUUUUUAGCGCAUAUUACUAUCUCCUGUAGCCCAGGACAUGAAUGAACAUAAAGGCACUUCAACUGGAGACACUGGCCAGAGAUACAUAACUUAGGAGAAAGUUUACAAUAUGCAACUCUCAACGUCUGAAGGUUCACACAUGAAGACAAUAUUCUCGGUAAUUCUCCAUUACUCAUGGGAACCAGGUCCAAGUAAAGGCUCUUAAGUGAAUUAAAUUGGCUGGUAAACCUUGGUUGGAGAACACAUGCACACAGAUGCAAAUGUUUCAAUGUGGCUGCUUUAGAAAGAAGCUGAAAAGAGAUAGGAAAAAGGUCAAUCGUGCUGGACUUGACAUGUUCACAGAGAGGCGAGGAGGAACACAGAAACCUGAGGUGAAGUUCUUGAAUAUCUAAUGUAGCAAUAGACUGCAUCCAUCGAAUAAAAUCAGAGGUAAAUCUUUUCAGAAAACAGCAUGAAAUUUCCAAGCAAGUAAUGGUUUGACAGGAACAAAGCUGUAAACAAUUGUCUACAGCUUUCAAGAACCUAAACUGAUCCUGACGACUACACUUAUCAUGGGACUGAUUCACUCUAAACAUGUCAAGGCAGUUUAAACGCAGCUCACCCCUGAGUUUGCAAACAUUUUUCCACCUUCUUGAUAAAAUUCUCAGCCUAACAACUUCCAUCAGGUCCAAAUGCAAGAGGAUGCCUGACAGCAAAUCAUCUGGCAGUUGACUGAUCUUAUCUUCAUUGGUGACAGCAUAAUCAACCUAAUUCAAAUUCAAUCAGACUACAGAACACGCCAGAGUAAUAAAAACCUAUUUAGAUGACAUACAGGGUUCUUCAAAAAAUAAAGUACUAAAACAGAUUAACAUGACAAAGUACACUUACUAUCUAAAGAAUAUCCUCUUCCCAGAGGAAAACAAUAAUAUAGAGAAGUAUAAUGACAAAUGCAAGUACAGCAUAAGUGACCAGCUAAUUUACUUCAUCUCACAUUCAUUUACAUCUUACCAACUAAUGGUAUAUUUCCUUUCAUUAUUCAAGAGCAAAGAAGUUUCAAUGCUUACAAUCACCAAACUCAAUUACUCCAUGGAUAGUUACUCAAGCAUAUUAAAAACUUCAGCUAAUUACAACUAAGCUAAAGAAGAAUUAUGUCCACCUGAAUUAAUCAUCUCCAAAGAACUAAACAUCUUGUAGAAAUAAGUUUAAAUAUUAGAGAAUCUAAAAGACCCUAUUCGCCUGGCUUGGUGAAAGAUUUGUACCUCUUAUUGAGCUCGGAAAUAAAUCUGAUUGUUAUAAAGUUUCUCAAUAAAACAUGCACCCAGUACAAUUCAAACUAAGCUUUUAUUUGAAUCCUGAACUGCAAAUCAUAACACCAACUUGGUUGUACGUCUGUCUUUCUUCCUGUUAAAAACCAAUAUUCUCUUUUAAGUAAAAACAGUGUCCAACUUGCAUAUCUAGUCAACAUCUCACUCUAGCCAGACACAUCCAAAACUGCCAGCUUGUCUUUGUUUCAAAACUAGUCCACUUGAUAAAUUGACUAGGUUCAGGUUUCCCAAGCAGAGGUGCCUAUUUAGUAUCCAUAGCUAUUCGGUUUCUCUCUGUUAACCCAUAAAAAAGGCUUUGUUAUAAUUAGGAAAGAAAAAUGACAUUUAAAAGAAUACACAUGGUUGCAUAUUUUUUCUAGAAGACUUGAUUUGAGUAGCAUCACCCUAAUAAUUUCUUAAGGCUAUUUAUUCUAGAAGACUUGAUAGAUGUGACUAGAACCAGCGAUUCAAGCUCAUGCAACUUGGGAACAAAGGGUUGAUAAGAAAUAUAGGCAGCUAAUAUGAGUAAAGAUGUGAAAUAUUCAUCUUUACUAACUGAAAAUGUCGUCUAGGAAAUAAUGAACCGCCUUCAAAAUGUAUACUAGAACACGGAAAACAGUUGAGUUGUCUAGUACUUGUGAUAAAGCACACAUUUUACCAUAUUCCAUAGUCAUCCCAUGCUUAGCAUCUAGCAAUUAUAAGUGAAGCAGUGACAGAAACUGGAUAAUGCGAUUAUCAAAGAGAAAGAAGGAACCUUUUGAAUGAAAUCUUCCUCAUGCUUUUCCAACAACGGAAAUGCUUUACCCUGCAGAAUUAAAAAUUUAAUUGCUAUUUGAACAGCAGCUCCCCCUGCCGCCGUGAGGACAGCCAAAGGAAAAAGUACAUUUCCCAAAGAGCUCAUUGUAGGUUUUUCCUGAGACAUUCAAUAAAAAACAAAGAAAAACACUUCUUAGAAUGUUGCCAGAAAAUUUAUUGGCUUUCACUAGCUCCAAUAGAAAGAUCCUAAAAGAUGCAAUUUUGAAGUGCCAAUUACACAAAUAUCAACAAAGAUGCAGUUUUUACAUAUAAAUAUUGGCACAAUAAAUUAGAUUAACCACCUCCGACCACAAGAACGGAGAAGGCAAUACAGCAAAGAUACCAUUUUUUGCAUGUUAAUAAGCAUAAGAUAACAAAAGUUUCCCACAACAAAAACAUGGAAAAAAAAAAAGGAUGACGGCUUUAAAAUGUUAAUAGGCAAAAUUACAUAAAGACAAACAAGAUGUAAAAGUACUCCAUUCGUUUGAAUAUCUAGGCUAUAUCGCCGAGUGCGUUUGCGUUGGGAUAAUUUAAUAAAAAAUAAUUUGCUUCAUAAAUUUUAAUAUAUCUAUUUAUCUUUUUAAUCACUUUUUAAUGUCACUUAAUCACAUCAUAAAAAAUAUUAUAAUAAUUAUUUCAAAUAAUCUUCCGUCCAAACAAACUCUAAUUUAGUAAGUGUGUUUGAGUAGGAGUUUAUUUGAAAUUCUAAUUUAGUAAGUGUGUUUGAGUAGGAGUUUAUUUGAAAUAUUUAUUUAAGUGUAUUUGGUUAGGAGUUUAUUUAAAAUAACACUAUUAUAUAGCAUUUUUUGUAAUAUUUUUUAUGAUUUGAUAUAUGUAGCACUUGCGAUGAUGAUGAUACGACGUACGUGAAAAAAAAUGUGUUAGAAUUUGUGUUUAUAAAAGUAAAUUUUUUUUUUCAAAUCAUUUUCAUGCGCACAAUCUUUUGAUUUUUCUGUUUUGUUUUUGUUUUUGCUUUUGCUUUUUCUUUUUGACGUUAUUUUUUUUUUUCCAAAUUUGCAGCUUCAAUCUCAUUGUCAGGAUCAGGAUCCGUCCGCAUUGGUACAAAAACAUUUGGUUGGUCCUUCCUUCUUUCGGCUAUGAAAAAUCUAUUCCGGUUUGUUGUGUCCUCUUCUACACAUUGCUGGCCGUUUAUUUGGUGAUGAAACUGGUUCAUCGGGUUCGACCCGAUUCUGACCCGAACUCUCGAAAAUCUCAACCCAAACCCAUUAAUUUCGUGUUAGGUUCGUGUCGUGUAUUCGGGUCGUGUCAGGAAUUGCCAUCCCUAAUGCACAUGUAUAAAUAUUUAUUUAUUGUGUGUGUUUUUGGGUUUUUUUGUUUGGUGCAGUGGGGAAAAGAAAACCCUUGAAGAUAUAUGGUGAUGAUCUAUGCUGUCUUUUGGUGAGCGAACUAUAAUUGUUGUGUUUGUAUUUUGUGUACCGUUUGGAACUAACUGACGACUAGAACAGUUGUUCUGUAUUUUGGGUGCCGUUUGGAGCUGAAAAUUUUUUUCAGUUGCACUUUUUUAGAAAGGAGGGGGGAAAAAAAUGCAUUCUUGAAUCUCUUCUGCUGUGGCACUUUGCCUCGACGUGCUUAAAUGAUUGAAUUGAACGGGAUGCCAUGAAUUAUUUGUAUAUGAUAGUACAAUUUAGGAUAACCUUUUUUGCCUUAAAAAGAUAGUAGUACUCCUUUAAAACGGGUUAUUGUAGGUUUGAAACUCUACGGGAGGCAAGACCCAACCACAUGGUUUUCUGUGGCUAAAUAUUCACGUCCUAUUUAAUGGUCUGGAGUUCAUUGAUUGAUUUUGAUUGCUGAAUCUUGGUGGUGAACUACUCUUGGGAGACCAGCUUGAUAUUCACUUGAUAUUCUGGACAAUUUACCUGCUUUGAGAUAUGCCACCCAAAGUCCAGUGGACUGGAUUUCCAGUUGGCUACAUGCCACUAGGUAGUGAAAAUGGUUACUUACAUCAUCAAUCACGUCUCAAGUUAAAAGGUUUUCAUUCUUGAAUAUAUGAAGGAGCUGGUGUGCAGAUAAUUGGUACUGGGGAAGAAGGUAUGGGUGUCAUUUCUGAGGCAGAGAUUGUUGGUUUUGAGGUCAUCCCCUGCAGUAUUAAGUAUGAUCCUGAUAAGAUGGAAAAGCUUCAUAUGUAUGACGGUAUAGAACCUACAAGUUGUCCAUCAAAUAAUAAGGCAGGGCAGCAAGAAAGGGUUUCAUUUGCUCGUGAGCUUGAGCUUGAGUUUGAGUUCCAUCUUGGCUGCUGGAACUCUCUUUAAUUGAACUUUUCUUGAUUCUCUCCAGCAUCUGGCUUGGGUAAGAGGCUCCUGACGUAUGGUUAAACGAUGAGAGGCGGGGGGCGAAGAAAUUUAUACGCUCUCCUCGAUCUCGUGAUGCUAUCUAUGCAAAUGGAAGCAAGCAGCAUAUUCACGAUGACACAGCCAAACGCUCUGCUACUCCAUUGUUUAUUUAUUUAUUUUUGAUUUGGUAGCGUGCGUUCUUCUAUUAAAAUUCUCCUCUGGAAUUUAAGGAGAAAGAAAUAAAUGUAACCAGCCGCCCACUAUCUUUAUCACGUGCACACCCAUCCGACCAGGAAGGAGUUUAAGUUAAGAUCUUGGGAUAAUCUCUUUUAAGCGGCUGUGCCAUUUGUUUGUUUGAGCUCGGAAGCAUAAACUGUGCAGCAGAAGCUACAGAACUAAGCUGUUUCGAUUCUAACAAAAUGCUUGCAAAAAUACUAAUAAAGUUUGAAACUGCCAUAUUUAACUGAGUUUUAAAAUUUUAAGAACAAGGGAUAUGCAACAUGCUAAAAUCCCGAAGAAAUCUAAUAUGCCAAACUCAAUAAGACAAAUGCCCUAGAAUGACUUCUCAGAAGGGUCUCCAGAAGAAAACACAUGAGAGUAGUAGUCACCACUUUUCUUCCUUCAGCAGAAAUCCUCCUAAAUGACCCUAAACCCGUCGAUCAUCCUGACAUGCUUCCUUUUGCAGCAUAACAAAAAUCAGUUUUCUCAAAGUUGUCGUUAUUUCCUGUCAACUCAGGUGUUGGAUUGGACACAAAUAGAAGCUUGGGUCAACCUCCAUAGAUCUAUGUUGAUUAUUACAGCAAACAGCCGAUUGUCUUUAACAAGAAGAAUGCAUCAAGUUUUCUCAUCGCAGAAUGUUAAUGGCUCAUGUUUGACCAAUCAUCCUCAGGCAUCAUUCACAUGACAUUUACUUAGACUUGAACUACAAUGGUCAUGGCUUCUAACUAUUUUGCCACAGUAGUCUUAACAAAAGUAUAUCAGAUCAGUCCUUUAAAAUCAAACUUAAAAACUGUAGCAAAGGUUGUGCUAGAACUAUCCAUACGCUAGCCAAGCCUCAAAUUCUCAUCACCAAUGACCUGUAGGGAGAGAGUAAUUCUUUCAUCUAAAUAUUAGAGAUUCACAAACAUGCUCCAGCAAACCAUUUUUGCCACACACUAUUCUCUAUUUACAUCACUUUCUGCAUUCUAACUAUUAACUGCACCACCCAUAGACAUCUAAUUCUGUCCAGGCACAAAUGGCAAAACUGAAAUGGAGAUAGUACACAAUUGAUGAACAUAGUAAAUGACAACAACUGCAGCCUUGUGUAAUGAGAGAAUAUUUAAAGAGAGAAGUGUGUAAUCCAACAAUCUUGUUUGCUGUUGUAAUUUGCAUAAGAUACUUGCCAUUUGAAAAAGUAGGCUUCUGAGAAGUCAAGAAAACUCAACUUAUUUAAGAAUGACUCUAAAGAAAGCAGGGCUCUUGUACAUUGCAACCUAAACCACAAAUGUAAUAGUAGGCUAAACAACACAGUUUACCGUUUACCCCUGAAAAUCCCAAUUUUGAAAGUUUCAAAUUUCCCUUCCCUUCCACCUUCCAAAUCUUGGACGCAAUUCUUCGUCACGUUCAUCAACUCAAUUGCCCCUUUCGCAGCCAAAAUAAAAAAUCCAACUUCAAUUGAACGACAUAUUUCAUUUCCCAUUGCACCUAUCCACCAAUGGCGGUCUCUUUCGCGAUUCCGGCGCACUUUAUCUUUCAGAUUGAUGAUAUCUUUGUGCAUCUCGGAUAGUUUCUUCUGCAUGUCAUGCGACUGUUUCUUAAUGGCUUCCAAUUGUUCGUAGAGGUGCAGCGGGUCGGCAUUCUGUCUCUCCAGGGACCCAGUACUGCCCGGAGACGCAAUACCCUUGACAUCAGUCAUCCCUUUCAGUCGAUCGUCGAUAGAACUGAGGUGGGACGGCUCGCCAUUCUCUCCCUCCGGAGACCCAAUCUCCUGGACAUCAGACAAUUUCUCAAUAUUCCGUCCGUCGACGAUUACAUCCCUACAGUGGAACACAUCCAUCAGUUGAAAGCAAAUGUGGCGGCUUUCUUGACUGCUGUAAGCCUAGGGUUUGCUGUCUUAGCGAAAGAGAAGUAAAAGAAGCCGUACUAAUUUUAUAGUUUUAUUGGCGGGUCAUUGCCGAUUCCAAUUGUUACAAAUUUGGGGCGUUUAGAGAACAUGACAACAUUUAACCGCUUAUAAUAAAGGUGUAAAAAAUCUGUAUUGACUCACAAUCGUCCUUACUAUUAUUAUGUGUUUGCGUGAGUUAUUAUUUAUUAAUCAAGUAUCCAAAAUACUAAUGAACAUUUAGAAUACAUUAAUUUUUUAAAUAUAUUUAAAUCAAUACAUUUAAAUUGGAAUACAUUAAUAUAGAUGAACAUAUAGGAUUAUUGUUAAUUAUAUUUAAAUUAUUUAUAUUUGUAUAUAUUCAUAAUAAAUAAAAAAAAGAAGACCGUGUUAAGAUACGAACAAAAUUCUAAUUACUCAUUAAUCAUCAAGUAUCCAAAAGAGUAAUGGCAGUUGAGUGAGACAUCUCGUAUUUGGAGUUUUUUGCCAAAAUAACACUCUUACUAAAAAAUAUUCUCAAUGUGAUUCACUUUCAAAUUUUAUUACCAUAAUGAUAUUAUUGUUCCCAUCUAGUUAUCCUAAUUGCCAUGUAGGAUAACAAGAAAGGAAAGUUCUAAUCCAGUUUAUAGUUUACAACAUUAACUAAAAUUUUAAUUUUUUUUAUUAUAGAGGCACAAGAAGAUUGCAUAACUUUUAUAAUUUUCUUAUAAUUAUCUAAAAUAAAUUUUACCAUAUAUUGACCUUACUAUUAUUGGUCUCCGAAUUUUUUUAAAUGUAUCAAACCUAUUGCAUAUAUAUUUUUUCAAAAAAUAAUUUUAAAAAUACAAAAAUUGCACCAAAAAUUGCAACGAAAAAUGUAAUCAAUUACAAAAAUUUCAAGGUUAUCAUAUUUGUUUAUGUUAUCCUUCCUACUAUUUGAUAAGACGAAAAUAAUCUUCAUCUACCUUAAGAUUAUCGACUUGCGAAACAUAUUUUUUAGAUGCUGUUAAUAUAAAUAUUGGCUUCCUAGUUUAUGUUUGACAAGGGAAAGAUAACGAAAGAAAAAAUUGUGGGAAGCUUUAUAGAGAAAAUUGAAGAAAAUAUUAGAUGAGGAAGAGAAAUGGAGGACGUCUUUAUCUCUAUCCUGACACAUAUGCAGCCUAAGUGGCAAAAAAGGAUCACAAAGGUAAUAAAUUUUAAAAUUAAGUUACUUUGAAUAUAUAUUCUAGAAGAAUAGUUAUUUUGGCAAUAAACUCUCGUAUUUGUAAUAACAAAUCAUUAGGGCUACGUGACAAACAGAAAUUGGAUGGCAAUUAAAUAAGGAGGUGAAGGAUGACUAAUCAUCACCAUCUUUGUACUUGGUAAUGAUUUGCAAACAAUUUAAAAGUCUCAACUUUAUCCAAGAAACCAUUAUUGUAAAAAUGAAUUUUAUGAAGGCAAAUGAGGAUAAGAGGGUGGAAAAUAUAUUAGUAUUAGUAUUAGGUAUUAUAAACCUCGAAACUCUUUGUGUUUGUUACUGAAGUUCCUUGUUAUUAUGGUGAUAAAACUUGAUGCAAUAGAAUGGAUUAAUUGGACAGUGGCUGCAGGGAGGUAGUCAAGGAUCAGGGAAAAAAUUAUGCAUAUUGGGUAAAAAUUAAUUACAUGAAACAUGUAGAAUUAAUUUUCCUAACAUUGCUGAUGUAUAUAUCAGAGUUUUGGAUGUGUGAUAAACAUACACAGUAUUUGCUACUGUCAAACAUGCCUCACGUUGAAUGGAAAUUAAAAAAAAAAAUUUCGGUUGUAGCUGAUUAGGGCGUUAGACUUAAUAAAGGCUAAUCAUCUACUUUAAUCAAGUUCUACCUUUUUACGGAAUGAAUUAGCCGAGAAUGAGAGCAGUCAUCAAACGUGAUGAAUUUGUAAUCAGAGAGUUAAACACUCCUUGGUGACCUAAUCUGAAAUGGUUCUCUUUUCUAAUCUAGGCCCUUCAUCUUUCCCAUCAUAUUAUUAUGUUAACGUGAAUCAUCACAGGCAGCCUAUAGUGUUUUGUUCAUGGUCCGGUGAGCUAUGGAGAACUACUAGGAGAAAAAUAUGCACAUGAGUUGGCCAAAAUUAAAAGUACAAUAAUAAUAUAUACUAAUUCAUUUAGGGGACAAAAUAUGUAGUUUUGAAGUGCAGAGUAGUGAAGCGUUACCAUCCCAUAGAUUGUAGGAGACAAAGUAUUAUUAACCCCAUUUUAUACGGUGUCUACUUUCAGUUGGGCUUAAAAUUAGAAACUCUCUUAAGAAGACAAAUGAUGAUAACAGUGCGCGAAGAAAAUGAUAAACUACGAGUAAGUGGGAGGUCUUGAGAUCUCAAGAUCUCCUCCUUACAGGCCAUCAUGCUUUACUAUUCAAUUCAAUCCUUUCUCGAAUGAUAUGACUUAAAACAAGCGUAAUCCUCCAUUAAUCGUGUUUUACUCUUUUACGGAAUGUAUUAGCACAAAUGAGAAAAGUCCUUCAUGUAUUCUAGACGUAACCAAGUAAUUUUAAUAUCGUUAUUAAUAGAGGUGCAAACGAAUCGAGCCGCUCGAUUCAAACUCGACUCGAACUCGAUUAAUAUCGAGCUCGAGCUCAAAACAUUAAACCCGACUCGCGAGAAUAUAUAUAUAUAUAUAUUUUUUUUUUAAUUUUAUUUUUAAUUGUAAAAUUAUAUAAAUAUUCCUUAUAUUUUAUUAUUUAUUAAGAAAAAUUAUUAUUUUAUUUAUUUUUUUAAAAAUAAAAUAAUUAUUUUUUAUUUUUUCGAGCUCGAGCUCUGUUCGAAUCGAGUCGAGCUCGAGCUUGAAAAUUACCAGCUUGUCGAGCUUGAACUCGAGUUCGAGUUUGAUGAAAUUAAAUCAAGGCUCGACUCGAUAAGGCCAAAGUUCAACUCGACUCGGUUCGUUUGCAGCCAUAGUUAUUAGAUUUUCAAAGGCAUUUUCUUUUUUGAUAUAUUUUUUUAAUUUGUUUUGCACAUGAACGGGAGCAUUCAUAACUAGGAACGUACAUUUCCAAGAACGUUGCUCCAGCCAUUCCGUGAUCAACUACGAAAAGUGGUAUUCAAAUUAGGAGUGAAGCAAUUGUCAUUCAUUGGCAACCAAAAAAAAAGAAAAAAAAGUUGACAAGGGGAGGCAAUAGAAGUUGCAAAUCCAGAGGAUUUUAUGUGCCAAUUUUAACUUGCUAGCAACUAGAGCAUGUAAAUUAAUCAACUCAACAUUUCAGCCUUUUAAGGUAAAUAUGAUUCCUCAAGAUGCUUUCAAUGUGGACUUGAAGAGUUUUACUAAGCAAUGAUUCACUUGGCAGCAUUAGUUAUUGAUUUGAUCCGUACCUUGUAAGCUUGUACAAUAUCCCAUGUAAUUAAACCUAUGGCUAAGAUGUUAAAAGUUCAAGAUUUGAUGCACAUAAAUAUCCCAUGAAAGGUUUAAACACCCCAUCUAAACUAGAUUCACAUGUCUGGAUGACAAAUAGAUGACUCCACCCUAUGUUGUGAUUGUAGGGAGAAUAUUAACCGUCAAAAAAAGCGAUGCGUUACAGUAAAUAAAUAAUUGAAUAUAAAUAACAUAAAUGUUGAUGUGAUCAAUAAGGGAUCAAAUUCCUCUUUGAACUGUAAGUUGGAGGUUCGAACCCUAUCUGUAAAAAAAAAAAAUUUUAAAAAGUGAUAGAACGCUUCUUUGAUUUAGUCAGAUUCUUAUACCUUUUAUCCCUUAUGAUAGUUUAUGUUACAGAAAUGUUAUUGUUGCCGUAAAAUAAAAUAUAAAUAUUGAUGUGAGUUGACACAGAUAUAAAUGAAUAGGUACUUUCAUAAGUGGACAGGACAUGUACUUUUUUUUUUUUCUUUGAAGAACAGGACAUGUACUUCAAUGUAGGUUUUGGGAUUUCAGCGUUGCAGUUGUGACGUUGUUUGUAAUCCUAGUAUAUUUUUGUUUGAGGAACAAAAUUAGUACAUGCUAUGUACUAAAUUUAGGCUGCAAUUCUUUCUUUAUUCUAUUGUUGUCCUUUCCGGACAACAGAAAAUGAUGAUGAUGCUACCUUUCACUCGCUCCUGCGUGAAACAUUAACUCAGUCGACGUACUUAUCAGGAUAUUCUAAUAGCUUAUUCCGAUUUUAUAAUUUUUUUUAUAUCCGCAAAUAACAUGACUUCUGUACAGGUGAUUCUGUGGAUCUAGUUUUAGGUGCCAUUGAUUGAGGGGUUUACGAAAUCUUGUAUUAACUCACUGUUAUUUUAAGGGUUUUUCUAAUAUGUACUCAUGAUAUAUUUAAAAUUCACCUAAUCUACUAUAUGUAUAUAUAUAUACUAAUAAUUAUUACCCUCUUAUGCAUUUAUAUACUUUUCUUAUUCAAUUUUAUCCACAUUUCAUUGUAUUUUUUAUUUAUUUUUUCUAAUUAAUCUUAUACUUUAAAAAAUAUGACACUUGAAAUAUAUUUUAAUGAGUACCUAGGGGGCACUAAUUAUUUAUUUUUUAUAAUUAAUCUUAUUACACUUCCAAAAUAUGAUACUUAAAAUAUAUCUUAAUGAGUACCUAACGGGCACCGAUUAGACAAGCCGUUAUUUUAAUAUGUGGAAGCGACUUGCUAAUCAAGUAGCCAAAAUAGUAAUGGCAGUUAAGUAACACAGCAUGGUUAUAAUAACAAACUAUUAGGGUUACAUCACAAACAGAAAUUGGAUGGAAAUUAAAUAAGGUGGUAAAAAAUGACUAGAUCAAUCAUCACCAUCACUAUACGAAUAAUGAUUCGCAAACAAUUUAAAAAUCUCAACCUUAUCCAAGAAAACAUUGUAAAAGAUGAAUUCUAUGAAGACAAGUCAUGAUAAGAAUGUGCAAAAUAUGCUUUAUAAACCUAGAAACUUUUUCAGUUUAUAAUUGAGAAGUUCUUUGUUGUGUGUUACUAAAACAUGAUGCAAUAGAACGGAUUAAUUGAAUACUAGCUACAAGGAGGCAGUAUACUAGAUGUUUAGGCGAGUACAAGUUGGUUCAAUUGAUAAGAAAGAGUCACUGUCUCACAAAAUAUCGUAUAUUAGAAUUAAACUGUUGACGUGAGAAUUGUAUUAGCGAACGAUCUGUAACAGCUUCUAUAAAUGACAUAUGAUCUCGAUGAACGAUUUGUAUCAACCUAUGGUCUCGAAAGCAUCACUUGACUUGUAAUAGUAAUUGGAGUCGAAUCCAUCUAAACUUUUUUCUUAUACAGAAAAAAAAAGAGGUUUAGAUGCAUGACUCACAUGUUUGCUACUAUCAAACGUGUCCCACAUUGAAUGGAUAUUUCUUUUAUGGGAGUAGCCGAUUAGGACAUUAGACUUAGGUUAAUCGUCUGCUUUGAUCAAGUUCUACUCUUUUACGGAAUGAAUUAGCAGAGAAUCAGAGCAGUCGUCAAACUCAAACCAGAUGAAUUUGUAAUCCGACGAGUUAAACACUCCUUUGGAUUCAUUCUUAGCCUCCAACUGAUAGGAAAAACACAAAUCUCUGUCAGUCAGAAAAUAAUACUCGUAUAGGAUCUGUUGUCGCUUCCGACACUUCAGCCAAUUUCUUGGCUUUUGCGGGCCUAUUCCACAUGAUCAUUUCAGCCGCCAGUCCUAUGUACUAACUAUACCUGAGCCUUAUAUUUUUAUCCCUCUUCAAUUGUAGUAAUUACAUAAUGCAUGUCUAUCUUUGUCUGUACCAACAAUUCAUCUUGUGUUUUUAACGUGAGUUUACGUAACCACUACUGUAUUUGCAAUUCAUUAAGAUAAGUCACUGGUAUUCGUGUUUUGGAUAAGGGAGACUAAAUUGGAAAAAGUAUGUAAAUGGGAUAGGAGACAAUAAAUAUGGGGGUAUUUUUGGAUUAGCUAUUUUUGGAUAUAUUUUUAAAAAAUUUUACUGUGACAAAAUUUUUAUAGUAUAUUUUAGAAUAUUUUUAGAAAAUAUUUUAAAAUAUUAGAGAGUAGAAGAGUUUUUAGAAUAUAUUUUAAAUAUUAAAAAAAUUUAAACUACUUUUUAGAAUAUUUUUUAAAAAUUAUUUGAAAAACUAAUUUUUGAAAAACUCAGCAAUCCAAACAGAGCCCAUUUACUACAGAUUAUCUUAGCAGACAGAGAUCAGAAAACCCUUUGUUUUCUUUUGUCAUCGUGUUUUUCCCUUUUGCUUUUUUUGGUGUUUUUCCUUAUCGGCAAGUCCAUUUGGUUUGCUUUUCCUUGUCAGCUAGUCUAUGCGUUGUGCUUUUUAUCCUAUCACAUUCAUAGUAGUAGCAGAAGAUUAGGAGAAAAUGUUUGUUGAUCUACACGUCUAUUCUUAGCUUUUUGUUUUUGUUUUAGCAUGAAUAUCUUAAAAUGGUUCCUUCAAUCAAAUUGGCAACAUGUACAAAUAUUGUGUUUGGAUUGCAUUUUUUAUGAUUUUUCAUGAAAAAAAAUACUGUAGCGAUUUGAUAUAUGUGAGGGAAAAAGGUAACAGGGGAAUGUGAUCAUGAAAAACAACGUAAUUUUCCAACGAAAAGUUACAAUCCAAACAAGGCUUAGAAAGCUCAAACAUGCAUGGAGCAUUGAUUGGGUAGUCUUCAUAUGCCUAAAAAUUGAUCCAUGCAAAGCUACCUAUAAUCAAGGAUUUGUCAAUUUGGUUAUACCGUAAAAGUGAGUCCAUUGUGUUAUAAUUUUGACAAAUUUUUUUUUCCGUGCAAAAAUAUUUCAAUUCAGGAAGCUGGUGAUAAUUUUAAAACAUUAAUAGUUGAUCCACUUUCCUCUUUUAAUGUGCUUACUUGGUGUCCCAAAUUAAACAAAAAAAAAAAAAACCCAUCAUCAAAUAACACCUAAAAUUAUCCAAAACAGAUUAAAGAAAAACACAUACACUUUAGUCUCUCGACUUAACUCGAAUUCACAUAGCACUCAAUUCAAUGAAAAUUUGACUUUUUAUCAACAUAAAUCAGGUAAAUUUGUUUGAGUAAUAUUUUUGGGAUUCUUGUUAAACUCUUUUUUUUUUUUUAAUAUUUCGGAACCGAUUCUUGUUAUACUCAUAAAUAUUUAUGCAAAACCAAAAGAAAACAAAAAAGUAACUGAAGUGCAUUUUUCUCCUCAGUUUGACUCUACCACAAUGUCAGGAAUCAUCCCCAUGUACCAACCAGUGGCAAUUUCAGUAAUUUCCCCUCAGGUCAAGGUCAAGAGUUUUUUUUUCCCAUCCCAAUUAUCCACUCCAACUAAGUACGUGCUGUCAACGGACUCCAAAUGGAAUUCAAAUGCAGCCAAAUUUUCUCCACUCCCCCACAAAGGGCCACAACAACAAAAUACUUAGAAGAAACAAACAAAAUUCAAAAAUGAAAAAAAAAUAGUGAACUAUUUGCACAAAUUUAUUUACACAUUUUCGAAUCACCUAUUUCUCUUAUAUACACGUCACAUUUAAAAAGUCUUAUAGAUUUUUUUCAAAAAAUUAUUUUAAAUAAUCUGCCAUCUAAACACAUUCAAUGACAAAUUAAAAUGAAAACCAUCAUUUUAAUUUAUUCAAAAUCUAGCAAAAAUUUCGUGAGAGAAAAAGUUGAAUAAAAUCAUAGCGAUAGCUCUGAUUAUUUGUCAAAUUUGUAUUAUGAUGGUAGUAAAAACCUACUGUAUCAAGUCUUAUUUUCUUGAUCCAGUAUAUCCAAAAUCUCUUUAUUCUUUUUAAAAAAAUCAAGUGAUGUAAUUAAAAAAAAAAGAAAAGAAAGAAAAGGAUGAUUGAAUAAUGAAUGCACAUAUUCAAUAAUUUAUGUCAUUAAGACCCCAUUAUUUUAUUCUAUUUUCAUGGCAGGAAAAGAAUUGCAGAGAGAGAAGGGGAAGGAGAGGGACGGGGCAAUGAUGAAAUUUCCUUAUUUUUCCCUCCAAUCAUUCUCCAGUCUCCACUGUGUGUAGUGUGUGUUUUUGGGACCUUUUCAUGUGUGGGUUUUAUUUGUUCAUCCCAAAUGCUUCCCCAACUCUCUUUCCCCUUUGUCUGAGUAGCAGUUUUCCUCUUUCUCUUUCCCCUUUGCAGCUUUACAAUAAAAAAGCUCUAAUAAUUUUUUUUUUAAUCUCUGAUAGUGUAUAUAGUAAAUUCCGGCGGGAGAGAAGGAUUAAGGAAGUGAAAGAGUAGAAGAAAACAAUUUCUCUGCUUCUACGAAACCAACCCCUCAACUCAUCUCUCCUCAGCGUUUUACAACUACUUCUUCUUCACUAAUUUAACUCACUUUUCCAAAUUCCUCGAGGUCUUUUGUGAUUGUUUCUUCUCUCUUCUUUCCUCCCUCUCUCUUAUUUUUCCCUGUUUGUCGUCUCUUGUUCUCUUUAUGAAGGUACUCUUGCUGCCCCCUUUCUUGUCUUGUUAUGUAAAAUAUUUUAAUUUUUGUGAGGAAAAUUGAGGUGGGUUUUUCGUUUUUUCCCGCUUAAUUUUAUGUUUCUAUUUUUUAAAGUGAUUUGGGAGAUGGGUUUCUAAUUUUUGUUGCAGUCGAGAUUGAUUUUGAUCCUCAAGUUGUGAUUUUUACUAGUAUAUAAGUUCAUAUACGAUGUAAAGUUGUGAUCUUUACUUUGAUUGUGGUAUGAUUGGACCUGGUUAUUUGGCUAGUUCUUUGUUAUACUAAAGUGAAGUUAUGCUCGAGUUUGGAAAGUUCGUUGAUCUUAUUUGGUGGUUUUUGUUGGUUUUACUGGAAUUUGAUCAAUUCUAGUUAAUUUUGUUUAGUGUUAUGUGUUGUGAGUUUCUGGCGUUUGUUGAACAAAAUGAUUUUUACCUUCCAUGAUCAAUUUAAUUGUUGCGUAAAUUUGUUGAAUUCUAUCUUGAAUUGUCUGAUGCAUUGGUUGUGUCCGCAUAAAUUAUGCACCUUAAGUGUAUCUGUUUUUUGGAGGAAUCAUGUGGUCGUUUGAUGAACUUUUACGCCUGUGAACAUUCAACUUCUUAAUUGCUUUAUUAUCUUUUGGUGGAAAUCAUUGUAGCUUCACUUUAUUUAUUCUGGUUUUUCUAUAAAGCUUAGUAGUUCAUUGCCUGCUUUUAAUUCUUAAAAGACUAAUGGAAUAAUGGUUGUCUUAAAUAUAUGUUAGUUUACUUUUUAAGCCCUGCAAACUCUAUAAAUUAGCAUUCUAGAAGGAUCAAUCUCAGUUCAUAUAUCGGAGUACAUUAUGAGCUUUCCUCUUUCACUAGAGGGCAGUUACAGGAUAGCUGACACUUUCAUUUACAAGUGUUCCCCCCCCUCCCCCUUCCCACAAUCUUUUUGAUAAGUUAGAAGUGUUUACUUCAUGGAAAAUAAUUGCUCUCACUAGCUAACAUCCUCAUCCCCUAGGCGCUGUUUAGGAAAAGAUGUAAUUAAGCACCUUAGGUGUGUUCUUUUUUCGCCACCUCUUUUGUUUUGGGUUUUUAUUUGUUAUUUCAUUUCUUUAGUGGCUUUUGUUUCUUGUAGGCCUUAAUCAAUCCAUGGGUUUGUGACUCAUCUUAAGAUCAAAAUUAGUUUCAGUUUCACAAGUAAACUCGCUUUUGUUUUUUUUGAUGUACAUGAGAAGCACUGCAUAGAAGUGCUAAUAUUCUGUAUGGCCAUUAAGAGGUUUGGAUCUAGCCAAUGUGCAUCUGUAUGUUACUUUGUAAGCAUUAGAAUAUACCUAAGAAUAUAGACUUUACUUAAAUGGGUUACUUGUGUCAUCAUUUCAGGUUGCUUUCUAAAUAAGCAUGUUGAGUGUUUAAGGAGUUUGGAAAUCUAGUGCAUUUAAGUUUGGUGAGCUUGAUGGUAUACAGUUAUCAAUAAGUCUGCUUGUUGUCAAGGAAAAAAAAAAGGAAACUCGAGUUACUUGGAUUCUCCCAAGUAUUUAUUUGGAAAGUUAUUUUCUGUUGACUUGGAAUAAGCAAAGCGGGAGCAAAAGAAUUAUUGUGUCCGUGCAGUUUUUGCAUUUAUUCAGAAUUGUGUUAAGGAGAUUGAGACAAACAUUUUUAGAAAAUUUUUGAAGACCUUUUGAAGGUGUCAUCAAAUGUUCUCAGAGAGUUUUGGAGAGCUUUAAUACAAAUUUGGGAGAGUUUUCCAAGAAGGGUUUCUGAAGGAGAUAAAUUAGGAAGCCAAUGUAAAGCAACUCAAUCUAUUUCAGUGUAUUCCGUGUUUACUUGUGUGAAGAUCAUUUACUGCCACAAAUUCAACAUGCUGGCUUUUGAAUCUUCUUCUAUGUUACCAUUGUCCAUGUUUACCAAAUUUCUUCCAAUGCAAAGUGAAAGAAAAUCACCGUUGGGUGGUCAAAUAAUACUUACAAUUAUUAGCUUUUGUGUAAGAGAGAAAAUAGAAUUAAGCUGUGUACUUGAUUUUUUAUAUUUGUCAUUUUAAUUUUGUUCAUAUCCUUUCUGCCAUUUGUAAAUUUCUCUUCAGAACAAUAUGAGAUAAUGGUCUGAACUUGUAGUAUGAGAAGCAGAAAAAUCAAUUUCAAAUCUGAAAUAGUUGACCACAAGAUAGAAGUAAUUCUCUUUAUUAUUAUAACAUAAACAGUGCUUCAAACCAAAAAACUUUUGGUACAGAAUUUCAUUUGCACUACUUUAUUUGUAAAUCUGGAAACUCUACACUUUGGUGACUUAUGAAAUCUUUUAGACUCUGGAUACUUAUACCAGUAUACUUCACCUGCAUUCUGUAUGCAGAAAGUGCUUUGAUGGAGCAGGCCUCAAAAAGUUCUAAUUUACGUGAUGAAGGUGCUCUAUCUUCUGCUGGAUUAACCAGGUUCUUAUAAAUUAUGUGAAUUUUUUUUUUGUCUUGAUUGUUUUAUGUCUUUUUGCAGGUCCCUUGGACAAUCCAUUAGCUAAUAUUUCUGGAAAGGAGAGAAAUGCAUGGAGGAUUCCCCUUCGUACUGGUGCUUAUCAUGCAUCAAGUGAUGCAAGCUUAUUCUCUAGCUCGUUACCUGUCCUCCCACAUGCAAAGUGUAAGCCUGAUCUUUUUUGGGAGAUGCUCUUAGUUGGGGAUAUAAGUUUAUAUUUUUACCACUUCUUUGCUAAUAUGCAGUAAAUUAUGGUGACUCCGAACAAAGUCUUCAAUCAGUUGAUGAUGGGCUUCCUAACUUAACUAAACUUAAUCUUGAAGAUGACGGUAAAGAUGUAUUUGAAGGUAGUGAACCAAGUCCAAUUGGUAACUUGCUUCCUGGUGAUGAGGAGGAGUUAUUAGCUGGUGUAAUGGAUGAUUUUGACCUCAGUGAGUUGCCUACUCAAGUGGAGGAUUUGGACGAUGAUAUCUUUGGCAGUGGUGGGGGACUAGAAAUGGAAGCUGAACCCCAAGAAAACCUCAUUAAUGGUCUGUCAAAGUUGAGCUUGCCUGACGGUAUUCCUGGAAACAGUAGCGUGCACUAUGCUGUUCCAAACGGCGUGGGAACUGUUGCUGGAGAACACCCAUAUGGAGAGCAUCCUUCUAGGACGUUAUUCGUCCGGAACAUUAAUAGUAAUGUGGAGGACUCAGAAUUGAGAUCUCUCUUUGAGGUACUCGUGUAACAACAUUGUUUUUGAAAAUGUUUUAUAGUUUACUUAAUUGCUACAUGUUCUGUUUGCUUGUGAUGACCUCUGCUUCCAUUUUUUCCUCUGUAUCUAAAGUACAGAGCAAGUGCAUGUUUAUGUCUGCACCCAUUUGUGUCACCCUGGGUAUGUAUUGAUAACUUUUCCAUUUUCUUUUGAAUGUGCUUCUGGGUAAAGUCCAGGGUGUUGCUCUAUAUAUCUUAGACUGGGGCUGUAGGUGGGUUUGGAUUCAGUUAGUAUAUCUAAGACUAUGAUCUAUUGUUACUACAUGAUCCAGACUUGAUCUGAUUAUUGAUUGGUCUUUUAGGAGUAGUACAUGCCCAAAUUCACUGAACCCUAGGAGAUACACUCUUCAUAAGUUUUACAGUUUCGCUAGUUUUGGAUAAAAUUUUAGAGCUUUCAGAAAGAAGUUUCUUUCUUUGUUGUUAACUUGUUAUCAUAAACGAUAUUCACUUGGAUAUAUAUUGAUGAGCUGUAUUGCCAUUUAAGCUUUAGAUGUGUGCAUAAACAAUGCGCCUUUUUUAAACUACUAUUAGUUCCAGGUCCUUAUGGGACGGUAGUAACAAGAUUCUACUCCAGUCCAUUUAUACAGAUAUUGGCAGUUCAUUUGGAUCAAGAUCUGACUAGAUGCAUUUUGAUAGGAUGGAAUAUGGGCUGAGACCUGGACAAUUGACGGUUGAAAUUAUUAAAAUUUCUAGAAUCUCCAUGGUAGCAACUAUUUUAUAUGUAGCUAAUCUAUAUUUUCUGAGCAGGAAAAAUUUUUAUUGUGGAAGUUGAAUGAAGAGUAAGGCAGUAUUUUGUGUUGGUUCUACAGUCUUUCACUUCCUUGAAAAGUCUCUGGAAAAGAUAAAUUUAGAAUGCCAGAAGAUGAUAGUGAUAAAAAACAGGAGAUCUUUGUCUUAGUGGAUAUGCUCAGUUGCAUUCCUGCCAAGGCAUUGAACUCCUUAACUUCGUUACCUUCAGUUUGUGAACUCAAGACUUAGAAAAUAUUAGUCAGGAAUUUGUAGUAAUAUUCCUGAUGU